UGACUUUAUUGUUUUCCACAGCUCUAUGAACUUGGAAGGAAGAUAUGGUCAACCAAAGGAGAAGAGCAGGAAACAGCCAAGAAGGAAUUCAUAGAGUGCCUCAAGCUUCUGGAAGGAGAGCUUGGAGAGAAGCCUUACUUCGGCGGUGAAAAAAUUGGGUUUGUGGAUGUGGCUCUGGUGACCUUCUCUUGCUGGUUUCAUGCAUAUGAGAGCUUUGGAAACUUCAGCAUAGAGGCGGAGUGUCCCAAGUUGAUAGCUUGGACCAAGAGGUGCAUGGAAAAGGAGAGCGUGUCGUCUUCUCUGGAAGACCCACACAAGGUCCAUGGCUUUGUUAUGGGGAUGAGAAAGAAGCUUGGCAUAGAAUAACUAUUUUGUAGUGUUGCUGUGGUAAUAUUAGAUAUAUGUGAGUGUUUGGCUGUUUGCUUAAGUUUUUGCUUUGAAAUUGUAUGGUUACUAUUUGCAGUUGAAACCCCUUUUGGAGGGUUGGUGGGUUUGCUGGAAAGAAAUGUUUUGAAUUUGUUUUCAUUUGUUUUGGACUGGACUAGAGAGGUGUUCUUUGUAUUCCAUCAUUUCGUGUCAUAAACAAGUAUUAACACAAGUUGGAUAAGGCAUGCCUCUGGCCCUUUAUGGUAACGUACAAAGAUAUCAUGGGCCUACAAAGAUAUCAUGGGCUACAGAAUAGGUUAGGGCCCGCUUUUUAAAUCACUUUUUUUAACUAAUAUGUUUGGCAAAAGAUGUUCUUCAAUAAUUUAAUUCAUCUUCCUUGUCGGUCAUUUUAAGUAACAAGAAAAUGAAAAAGAAAUAAGAGAAAAGUUCAAUCACGUUCCAUAAUGUUUGUUUUUGAAAAUUGCUUUUAUGUUAAACAAACAAAAAUAAUUUUUUAAAAUUUUAUAAAAUUUUAUAAAAUAAGGAUGUUUGACAAGUUAUUUUGAAAUUGGUUUUUCUUUUAAAAAAAAAUAAUUUUUCUAUGUUGAUUUUGUAAAAAUAUUCUAAAUUUAAUUAAUAGAAAUUUAAUUGAGGUCUUAUAAAAAAUGAAAUUAGUUUUAAAUUAUAAAUAAAUUAAAAAUAGUAUAAUAUAUCAGCGUGGACCUAUUUUUUUUACGUGCGUCCUCACUCGACGAUGAGACUCGUUUUUUAUUUAUUUGGUGAAAAAUAUGAUUUUUAGAAAAAGAUUUGAAGUCCUCAUUGAUUUUUGUUUUAUUUUUCAAGGGAAAGACAAAAUAAAAAAUAAAAACCCUAAAUAUGAUUUCUGAAGGAAAAAUAGGUUUGUGAAAAAUCGAGUUUGGGUUUGGGGAUCAAGUUACUUAUUAGGAAGGUAUGGUAAUGAGUUAUAACACCCCUCUAAGCUCGUUUAUGUACGACCUCUACUAAAUGAAUUAAGGAAAUUGUGACAAUUAAUUAAUUAAUUAUAGAUACCAAGAAAAAUAAUCAUGUAAAUGAGUAUGUACAAGUCAAGGUGAAAAUUAAUAUACACAAAAAUAAUGAUGAAAUCUAAUUACAAGAAUACACAAAAUAAAUAACAAAAGAAUUAUGCAAAAAUAAUUUAUUGAACUAAAUAAAAAAUAUUAAAAAAAUAGUUUUCAAGAAAUUUCGAAGGAUUUUAUUAAAAAUGAUUUUUAAUUAAUGAUUUUAAUUUUUUUUAUUUACAAAAAAGAAGUUUCAAUUUAUUUUCAAUUAAUGAUUUGAUUCAAUUUCAUUUGUAUUUAAUUUUUUUUAAAAAAAAAGUUAUUUGCACUUAUUAUAUCAAAAGAAUUUAUUACAAAAUUUCAAUUUGGUAAUAAAAAUGAUUUUUACUUGCUUUUACAAAAAAAAUUACAAUUUUAUUUACGAAAGUAUUUCACUUUGUUUUAAUUUGAGAAAAGUGACUUAUACAAAUUAUUAAAAAGAAUAUAACUUUAUUUGCAAAAGAAUUUUUAAUUAAAAAUUAAUUUUUGGGACAACUUUAUUUACAAAAUAAUGUUUGGACAAUUUUUAUUAAACAAAUAAAUUUUUGGACAAUUAUUAUUAAAAAUAAUUUUUCAAAUUCUAUUAAAAACAAUUUUUUUGGAUUUUUCUAAAAGCAUUUUUUUGAAUUUUUAUUAAUAAAAAAAACUUUCUUUUAUUAAAAAGAAUAUUUUAAAAUUAUUAUUUUAUUAGAAUAUAUUUACUAAAUUAUUCCUCUUAUUUAAAUGACAAUUUUGAUUUGUUAAAUAUUUAAUUCUGUAUAUACUCAAUAAAUAUAUACAAACUAAUAUUUACAAGAACUAAUAGAAAUAAAAUCAAACAGAAGUGAGCAAUAAAACGUGUACCCAAAUAAGGUUACAACAAGCUUAAUGUCUCUCUACAACUUUUUUAUUCUUACUUUCUUCCAUGAAAUUUUGUGCUUCACGUGUUAUAAAUUUGUACUCAGCCAAUAGAAUUGCAGAAUAGGCCCAUGCAAAAACAAAAAUAGUUCAAAUGUAAAUAUCCAAAGGUGUACAAAAUCCUUAACAAAUAUUCAAACUCAAAUUCAAAUUUCAAAUUAGUUCGAUAAAUCUUGUCAAUCAAAAUGGACACAAAUUAACAAAUAUAACCUAACAAAAACAUCUCACAUGCUAUAAACCUUAAUCCAAAAAUUUCAAAUUAAUAACCAAAAUACAACACAAUUAGCCAAGCCCAAAAUAUCACAAAAUAAAAUAAAUUCAAUUAGGCCUAAAUUUAAUAUUUCAUAAUCCAAGCCUAAUUUAAUAUACACCAUAAUUGUCCCACAUCCAAAUUAAAUAGUUCAAAUUGGUGAAGCUCAUAUCAAAUAUUCAAGUCAUCAAUCAAAUUUCACCCACAUUGUGGACCCAAAAUCCAUACCUAUAUUAUGGGUCCAAAAUUCAUAUCAAUUAACAAGCCCACAUUAAUAAUACACAUGACCAAAGAAAAUAAUUUCCCAAGCCCAAUCCAAUAAGCCCAAAUAAAUAACAUUAGAUUCAAGUCAAAAUCAAUUACUAUGCAAACAAAAAUAAAAAAAUAAAGAUAAAAAAAUGAAAAUAAAAUAAAGUAAAAAGGAAAUUUACCCUUUUUUUUUAUAACUAUGGGUGGUAGGAUUGCUAGUCGGCAGUGACUGGCAGGUAAUGGCGGGUGGUGGCGGGCAGUGGUUGUCGGUAGUGGUGGGUGGUGGUUGGCCGGUAGUGGCCGUGGAGUGUGGGGAAGGGAAAAGGAAAGAAAAAGGAAGAGAAAAAAAAAUGAAGGAAGAUGGGGAGCGUGUGACAGUGGGGGUUUGUGGAAAAUGGCAGUGUAGAGAGAAGGACUAUGAGAAGAAGAAAAAAAAAAUGGAAGAGAAAAUGGGGACCAUCGUGUGUGAUAGUUGGGGGGAAGAAAAAAAAAAGAAAAAAGGAAGGGAGGAGAUGGGAGAGUUGACCGUGUUUGGUGUGUGGGUCGUGGAGCGGUUGUUGUGUUGGAAGGGAGCCUGAAGAAGAAAUGAUGGAGGAAAAAAAAGUGAAGAGAGGAACGUAGAGAAAGAUGAUAAAAAAAAAAAAAAAAAAAAAAAAACUUGGAGGGGGUAUGGGGAGUGGCUUAGACAUGUAGGAGAAGGAAAUGGGUAAGGGAAGUAGGUGGAGUGGGUAGAAUGAGGGGAAAGAGGAAGAGAGAAGAGAGAAGAGAGUGAAAAUAAAUAAAAUUAAAUUAAAAAUAAAAAUAUAAUAAUAAUAAUAAUAAUAAUAAUAAAUAAAUAAAUAAAUAAAUAAAAAUAAUAAUAAAAAUAAUAAUAAAAAUAAUUUAUAAAAUAAUAAAAACUAAGAAUUAAAGGGUGUAAGUGGGCUAAACAAUUAAGAUGUAAUCAAAAUUUAAAUCUAAGGAUAAAAUUGAGCUCAAUAUCAAUGUAAAAAUAAAAUUAGGACAAAUUUUGGGGUCUACAAUCGGUUUUCAUAUAUUAUUUCUUAUGGUGAUUAGAUCUAUUUACUAGGUUGUAACUUAAAAAAAAAAAAAAAAAACCUAUUAGUAAAUUCAAUGUUACUUGAUUUGAAGUUUAUUCUUUAAUAAAAAAAUUUAUAAAAAUAUAAGUAUGUAUAGAAAAAAAGUAGACUCAUUAAAACCCAAUUUUUAUCCAUAAAUUUUUAAUAUUAACCACUAUUUAAGUUUUAAGUUAUUUAAAAAAAUUACUAAACUCAUUAAUUAAUUUAAUGUAUUAAGUUUUGUUUAAUUUGGAUUUUAUUUGUCUAGUGAAAUAAAUAAAUAAAAAAUAUAGUUUCAUGUAGAAGAGAAACAAUAGAGUCAUUGUAGAUUAGAACUAGAAGUUAUAAAAAAUAUGUAAAAUAUAUAUAAUUAUAUAGCUGGAGUUUAUAUUAUAAAUUAUAAAGUUAAAAAAAAUAUAAAAAACUACCUUCAAUGUAAUUUCUAAUUUCUUUUAAUUAUAAUGUAUAAUCAAAAGUUAGACAAAACAAAAUUGUACACUCAUAAGUUAAAUAAUGAAUAUUUCAUAGCCUCAAAGGUGUAUACAAUUUUACACAUUUUUGUUAUGAUAAAAAUAAUCCAUAGCCAAAAACUAUGAAAGCGAUCAAUUCGUAAUUUUUAUUUUGUUAAUAUUACAUGAUGUUCAUGCAUUUUUUUAAACCAUAUUUAUAAUAAUCCUAUAGCGAUAAAAUAUAACAAAAUCUUAAAUCGUUAUAGUUUUAUUAUAGAAUAUUAACUGGAUAAAUAUUGUUAGAUAAUUUAAUUAAUUUAUUUUAAUAAAUUAAAAUAUUAUUCUAAUAAAAUUAUUUCAAAUAUUAUUCUAAUUUAAAAAUUACUAGACUGUUAAGUCUUGUUUAAUUUUGAGUUCAUUUAUAUAGUAAAAUAAAAUUGGAAAAUAUGAUUUCAUGUAGAAGAAAAAUAAUAGAGUUGUUAUAGACUAAUUUUCAUCCAUAAAUUUUUAAUAUUAAUUACAUCAUUAUUUGAGUUUUAAGUUAUUUCUAGAAAUUACUAAAUUUAUUAAUGAAUUCAACACAUUAAGUUUGGUAUAAUUUUAAGUUUAUUUGUCCAAUGAAACAAAAUUGGAAACAAUAAAGUCAUUCAAGUUCAAUUUUUGUCCAUAAAUUUAUGGUAUUAAUUGGAUCACUAUUUGCAUUGCAAUUUAUUUUUAAGAAUUACUUAGACUUGUUAAUAAAUUCAACGCAUUAAGUCAUACUUGAUUUGGUGAUUAUUUACUAAGUGAAAAAAAUUGUAAAAAUAUGAUUAUAUGCAAAGAAAAAACUAGCCAAGACAUUUAAAUGAAUUUUGGUGUAUGAUAUUCUAAUGUUAGUGAGUUUCAUGACUUUAUAGUACUAACUAAAUCAAUUUUUGACUUUUAAGUUAUUUUUAAAAAUUAGUAAAUUUUAUGUAUAAAGUAUAAUUUGAUUUAGAAUUUAUUUUAUCAAUGAAAAUUUUCUUAAAUUAAAUGAAAUUCAUUAAAACACAUGUAAUUUAAAAGAAUAUUAUAUUUGAAGAUUUUUAGUAUCGGUAUUAGAUCGUAGAAAGAGGUAAAGAAGAAUGAUAUCAUCUUCAAUCUUAUUUGCUUUUUAUAGUUUUUUUAAAUUCCUCUAUAUUUUUCUUUUGCUUUUAAAAAUUGAUGAAAACAAUUUCUACUUGUUUUCUAAAAUAUGUUUUUUAUUUCACUUUAUUUUUAAAAAUUACAAAUAGAAAACAACUAACAAACAAUUUUAUGAAUUUUUAAAAAUAGUUUUUUUUUUAAUUUUUAAAAACAAAAGUUAUUUUUUAAUGAAAUGGCCAAAUGGGCUAAAAACUUUUCAACAGCAAAUUUUGAGAAUUUGGGUCAAGUGCUAUGUGCUCUUGUACAAUCCUCCACUAUUUUUGGCCUUCAUGUCACCGUUGUCAACUUUUACUGUGAAUAAGUUCACGAGCUUAUCUUACUUUAUAUUCGAGAGCAAGGAACAAGAUCUUGAGAGAUGCUUGGUUUGUUUUUUUUUUUGUAUUAAAGAAAUAAAAGAGUAUUCACUUACUAUUCCAUUUUGUACUAAAAAAAUUUGAUAAGACAUUGAUAGGCAUGUAAAUAUUAUAACAUUUAAAUAAACUAAAAAUAUUUUUGUUAUAUUAUUUUAAUUUUAAUUUUUGAACUUUCAUAUUAACGUUCGUUUUAAUUUUUCAUAUGAUUUAAAAUUGAUCAUGGUUCUAACCUUUUACUAGGCUAAAAUCUUUAACUUUUUUAGAUACAUAAAAUAGAAAAUAAAAUAUAUUUUCAUAUAAAUUGUAUUAACAUUUCUUUAAUUAAUUUUUAUAUUUCUUAAAAUACAUAUAUCUUAAAAUACAUAUAUCUUUUUUAAAAAAUAAGUACAUCAUUUAGAAAAAUAGGUACAUCUAAUAUAAAAACAUGUACAUUUCAUUUCAUCGGGGAUUCUUAUCCUCAUUCAACCUAAUUCGGGUGUGGGAUUUCACUUAUGUAGGUCUCAGAAUGCAUUUGAGGUCUUCUUAUACCCUAUUCAACAUGAUAUAACUUUGUGUACAUGUUUUAAAAAAAUGUAUAAAAGUUUAGAAAAGUAUUUACAUCUAAUUUGAGUUGAAUCAUUCCCUUAUUCGACCUAUUUUGAAUCUAAAUUUUAACUUCUAUAUACCUCAUGAUGCAUUCCCAAACCCUAUUUGGCAUGGUAGAACCCUAGGUACAUAUGUUACAAAAAUAAGUAUACUCUUAAGAAAAAGUACAUCUUUUACAAUAAUAACUAUAUUCUUAAAUAUAUAUAUAUAUAUAUAUAUAUAUAUAUACAUUCGUAAGAAAAAUGCAUAUAUUUGAUUUGAGGUUAACCAUGAUCCAAUUCAACCUAAUUUGGAUAUAAGAUUUGACUUAUAUAUGCCUCAAAAUGUAUUUUAUGCCUUCCAAAACUUCAUGUAGCAUGGUAGAAGUAUAGGUUCUGAAAAGGUGAAUCUCAAUAGUGGAAUACACCUAAAGGGGGGUUGAAUAGGUGUUUUGACCAAUUGAACAAAAUCUCAACUCAAAUUAGUAAACCUUAAAACUUCUUGAAUAUUUUUCUUCUCUUCACAAAGUCUAAAAAACAAAUUAUAAAUCACAUGAAUAUAUGAAUGCAACAACACUCCCCAACAAUAUUCAAAUGAAAUUCACAUGCACAUGAUCUAAUACUCCUAAACCCAAAUCAACUUAAAACUAAAUUAUGAUAAAAACAAGAUCAAUAUACAUCAAAAUAUCAAUGAUUAACAAUCAGAAAUGACUUCAAAGAUAAUUCAUAGCCAUUUCUCUUUAUCAUUCAAUCAAAUACUAGACAAUCAAAAUUAUAAUAAAUUGUAGAAACUAAAAAAUGAUGCGAAGAAGAGAAAACGAGACAAUGAGACACCAUAAAUUUACAUGGAAAAUUUUUGAAGAGAUAAAAAACCAUAAGCCUACUACCAAUCAAAAACAUCCACUAUGAAGAAUAAAAACUAAAUACAAGGUUUUACCUAGCUCAAGCCAACUAAUCCUUCCCGGACCACUUGACUAGUACCUUCACUUUUAGUUUCUCACAUUCUUAUUUUAGAGCACAUUUGGAGUCUACACCAAGCUCGAUCUCGACCUCUUAUUGAUUUCACAUAAGAAAAAAAUGGGUUUUUGUGCAAAACCAAGAGAAUUAGAUAUGAAUGUUUCAAAAAUCAACCCAUGCUCAUUUUCAAAAAAUCCAUUUUAAAAAAAUUUCUUAGAAAACUUGGAUGGAUUUUCUUCGUAGGUAAACACCCUUAAAAUGGUGAGGAAAGAAAAAACUCUCUCACAACUAUUGUAGUCACCACUUAUAGAGAUGGAAGAGAUUUGAUUUUAAAUGAGAAAGAAACCCUUAAUCGAAGGGUUGAAAGUUGAUCUUAAAAAUAGGUUGGUUGGAUCAAUCUGCCUCUACACUUAGAUCAAUCCAAAAACAGGGGAACAAAAGCCUUGUGCUAAUAAUAUUUCUCCUUGUUUUCUUAACUCAUUUAAAGAUGAAAAAACAGGGUUGAUUCAUAUUCAAUCACCACACUCGACUAUAUACCUCAGCCUCUUAGCAAAGUUUUAAUCUUCAAAGGUCAAGUAGUCCGAAGAGGGAUUUGUAAACUGAGUUAGGGGACACUUAGGAAUUUUGUUUGAAAUUACCAACCUAGCUAAACACUCACAAUCUCCUCCUUUGGCAAUUCUGGGACAAAACUCUUUACAAUACGAAUGAGUACAAGUAAGUAAGUCCCACCCAACUCUCAUACAAGGCCACACACUCACUCAAAACCUCACCAAAGGUGCUACAAAUCCUAUAAAUAAAUCUCAAGAAAAAACUUUAGGAGCACUUGCACAUAUUACCAAGACACUUCCAUAAGUUUCGAAUGAAUUGAUACACAAAUAUCCACAUAUAUCCACAAAAUCACAUGUCUAAAGAUAGUUAAUAUGCAUUCAUGAGUUCAAAAACGUGUCAAAUAUCCAUCGAUAUACAAAAAGGGUGAUCAUGAUCAACAUAUCAAAUAUCCAAAGCAACAAAACACAAAGAAACCGUCAUGAUCAACUACAUGUCAUAUCAACAUCCAUGUAAAAUGUAAAAUGUUUCCUAAUUUUUGUCCCAGUAGGAGACAAAAGGUCAUAAUCUCCCAUUUUCUAUCUUAGAAAAAAGACAAAUGAAUGAGAAUUCAAUAGCAUAAUAUCUCACAUCCAAAUCAACAAACAUCCACUUUUCAACAAAAUGUCAAAUACCCAAAAAUCAAAUAUUCACAUAUUACCAAGUAUCCAUAUCAACAUUUCAGAAAAAAAAAAUUAUAGGAUACAAUAAUCUCCUCUUGACUCCCAUCACAAGAUAUAAGAAUCUCUCCCUGAAUCCUAUCACAUGGUUUCAAUUAAAAACUUUCAAAAAAUAUGCUUUAUCACCAUGAAAAUAGAUUUCAAGCAUGAAAAUUUAUGGAAACCACUCAAAAUGAACAACCAAAGCCUAGGAUUAGCAUUCCUAGAAACUAGGAACACUCCAAGGCAAAAAUGAAAUCUCAAACUAUUAAAACUAUUGUGAGAAGACUCCACACACAAAAAAUAAAUAAAUAAAAUCCAAAUGAGACUAAGGGCUGAUUGGAAUUUCCAGAAGUGUAGAUUGUGUUGUGUUGAUUGUGCUGUGAAAAACAUAGUCCUAAGGGUUGAUUGGAAUUUCCAACUGCUGGAACGGAAUCCCAACUACACAAGAUACAAUCUAGUGACGCACAUUGGAGGUCCUAGCCAACACAUACUAUGUAGAAGGCAAUUUCUGACAACACCGACGCACUAAGAAGAGACACACAGACCGACGACAUGAGUUGGACAACACAACAAUUCUAGGCUAUUCGACGAGGCUGUUUGGUGGGAUUGGCUAGACUUGAAACGCUCACCAGAUAGGGAAGUCUGACUAUAAAGGUUUCCAAUGGUAGAGACUUAUGACGGUAGUGGUCGGAAUGAUGAACCGACGAUGAUGGCUAAAGAGAAGCAUAGAGUAGAGAAGUUUCCUUCUUUAGAACAAAAGACCUAGGGCUUUUGAAAGAAAUGAAUUGGGAAAAACUGAUUUAGGGAUUUUGACUUUUUUACUUUUAGUUACGAAAAUACCUCUCAUCCAUUAAACCAUAUGAGCAUAACUAGUUGGGGGCAAAAAUGGAAAUUUUCACAAAUGCAUAAGUGGUAUCGAUUUUAGUGGAUUGAUCUAGCUUUCGAUUGUGCUCUCGAUGAUACACAGUCACAUAGGUUUGAACAUACCAAAUUUGAAAAAAAUGGUUAAGUGUGUGAGAGACAAGUACUAGGUGGUAUCGACCUUGGUGGAUCGAUCUAAGAUUCAUUCAAGGGCUCUCGAUCACUACAUUGUGCACACAAUGGAUCGAUCCACAAAUUCAAUAGAUCGAUCGACACCUAAUUGAAAAAUGACUUAGGCAAAAACUAUUGAAAAAUCACAAGAAAUACACCAAUAGGCUUUCCAAAAACUGAAAAUUGAUUGACCAAAGAUGAGAUACAAUAGGAUGGCAUACUUAUAUUUCAAUUAAUGAGUUAGAGUUGAUUCACAUUGAACAAAAAUGCUUCCAAGAACUUAACAAUGGACAAAAUUAAUAAACAUAGAGAUUGAAGUACUUUCCAAAUUUAUCAAAUGAAUAGGUAAAAAACAAAUGAUUAUCAACACUCUAACAAGGAAGCUUAAGCUAAAAAAAAAAACUCACUCAUGACACCAUAAAACGGUGAAAAUGUUAAAUAAUUUCCACUUAUAAACCUAUAUUCAUUUAUGAGCCAAAAAUCAUUUUCAAGAUACUCUUCCUUUCUAGAGAAAUUCAAGAUAAUGUUCCAAGAAGUCAAUUUGCAUCUCUCUUGGCUAGAUUUCUGUUUAACAUGACCUAAUCACAUCCCUUUAAUAAAAUUCAUACACUAUUUGCUUUUCAUAUUUAGCAUUGAAAGGAAUACAAAGCUAUAAGUUUUACCUUAAAGAUCAGUUUUUGACUUGAGGAUCUCUAAGGACGCCUUUACAACAUAACAACAUAAGAGAUGUCCCACUUUUGCAAGGGAGGCUUUUUAAUUCUUGAAACACUGCCAAAGAGCCAUAUCCAUUCCGGGAAACUUCAUAUUUUCUUUUUCUUUUCUUUUUCAUUUUUUUUAAAAAUUUAAUUUCAAAGAGAGGACAAACAAUCAAAGAUUGAUAUUCUCAACCUCUCAAGGAUAUUCCAGGUGUCUUUACUCACUCUUUAAUGCUCAUUAAAUGGGUAUAAGUUUACAUUUAGACUUUAAAGAGCAUUAUUCACCAUUUAUGCAAACACAAGGUCUAACAAUGAGCUUUUUCUCACUUAAUAGAAAUGAAGCUAAUCAUUUGUAGUUUAUCUAACCAAAUCAAAAUAGCAAGGAUUCAAUAUCAUGUUUAUCAAACAAGCCAUGGAGAUAAAGACAUCUUGAAGCUUUUAAGAUCAUGAUGAGUUAAUUUAACUUUUAAACAAAAUGAAUAAGCAUGUCACUCUCAUGAACUCAACAAUUGUUGAAAAUUUAUGAAAAAUGGAGAAAAGAUUGAACCAAAACAAAAAGAACAUCAAGUUGAUGAUAUUUGGGAACUUAGGAAGACAACUAGGACUCAAGAAUAUGCAAGAGGAGUCCUAGACAAGUUUUAGAGGCAAUUAAAUAGAGAGUAUAUAAACCUAUGGGGCUCCUAAGUGAUUCAAACCUAGAAAUGUCCAAAGGUUUAGUAACAUUGUUAGCAAUUUGACUUUCUAUAGGGAAAAACUCUAGUGAAACAACCUUGUCUUCUACCAAGUCUUGAAUGCAGUGAUGCUUAAUGUCCACAUGUUUUUAUCUAGAAUGAAGAACACGGUUCUUUAACCUAUCAAUAACAUUGGCAUCAUCAAAUUCCUCCCCAUCAAUCUUAACUUUUACAAUGGGAUGCUCUUUUUCAUUUUGCAACAAUCUAUGUUGUAGCAAGUGAUUAACACAUACAAUUUUAGAACUUCCACACACAAGAGAAGAGGAUGAAGGAGAUUUUUUACUAACAACAUAGCACUUAUCACAAAUUCUCAAGCCCAUCAUCACACAUACAUCAUUCAAGUUAAACACCUUGCAAAAAUUUUGUGAAAAUUUUACAUUGAACUCAUUCCCACACAUUUGGCUUAUUCUAACUAAGUUAGCCUUUAAACCUUCAUAUAAGACCUCUUCAAGAUUAGGAAUUUCGGGGGCACAAAUGGUACCUUUGUCUUUCACCCUAGCCACAUUACCAUAUCUAAAUGUCACAUUUCCUCCAUCAAAUUCAGUGAAUGAAGUGAACAAAGAUUUAUUUCCAGUCAUAUGAUGUGAGCAUCUACUAUCAAGAUUCCAUGAGUGUGACUCACUAGCUCUAAGUACGUUAUGGACAACAAAACACUUCAACUCAUUCAUUUACACCCAAAUUUGUUUAAUAUUUGAGACUUGUCUUUUCAUUCAAAGUGCUUCCUUUCAACUCACCAUUAUGAGGGAUCUUUGACCACUUCUUGGACACUCUCUUAUUCUCAUUCAAUAACCUAUUCUUCAAAGUAUAACAUUCAUUCAUUAGGUUGGUAAAUUUCUUUUGAAAAUUAUCAGACAAUCUUGCAUAACAUCUAUAAAAAAUGUGUCCCAUUUUGCCACAAUGAUUGCAAUGAAACUUGAUUUGAGAAUGAGUUUUCUUAGGAGAUUAUUUUUCACAAGGCUUAACAAAAAUUGUUUUACCACUACUUGGAGUAGUAUUUGCAUCAACAAAUCCUAAGCCUUGUUUAUCAAAAAAUUUACACCCUAAAUUGAUCAACUCAUUAAGUCUCUUAGAGCUAGGAUGUGACUCUUCCUUCUUAAGACUUAACCCAUCCUUGAACAUUUGAUUCACUUUUCAAUACAUAAUAUUUUUUCUUCACUUCCAAAUGUUCAUUUUCAAGAAAUCCAAUUUUGUCAAGCAAAACCUUAUUUUCUCCCUUCAAGACAUCAAUCUCAUUGAUUAGAAUAUUCUUAGAAGCCUUCCACUUGACUUGUUCUUGUUUAAGGCUCAAGCACUCCUUAUACAAAGUCUCAUAUGCCGUGUCAAAACUCAUGUCAUCAUCAUUGGAGUCACUUGACUCAUGACUCACUUAUCACUUAAGACCUCUUUCUUGAGUGGUUUCUCAUUGACACUUGCAACAAAGGCUAUGAAGUUAGUGCAUUUUUCACUUCCAUUGGAUUCUUUUUCACUUGAUUGACAAGAUUCUAUGUUGCUUCAAGUGACUUGCAUGACCUUCUUUCCUUUUUUUCUUUGAGGGACAUUUGGCGGCAUAAUGUCCAUUUCCUCUACAUUUAAAGCACUCAAUCUCCAACUCUUUUUUCACACAUUUCUCCAUAUCCUUCUUUUUUUUCUAAUAGAGUUCCUCCAUUUUUACCAUCAUUUGAUUCUUUCUUGGAUUUUAUGAAUUUCAUGUACUUCUUAAUUUUUUUAGUAAACUUAGUAAGCACACCAUUUGAUAUUUUCUCAUCAUCCUCACUUUCGGAACUUAGGGACUCUUCUUUAAUAGUUUUUAAAGCAAUUCCCUUAGCUUUCCUAGGUGAUACAAGCGUCAUCUCAAAGGUUUGGAGGGAACCUACAAGUUCAUCUAUCUUCAAGGAAUCCACAUCCUUAGACUCUUCAAUGGUGGUAACCUUAGCUCUAAAUCUCUCUCGAAGAGAUCUUAAAAUUUUUCUAACCACCUUAGUGUUAGAGACGGAUUCACCUAGAUUGAAGUUAGAAUUCACUAUAUCCAUCAAUUUUGCAUGAAAUUCUCCAAAAGUUUCAUGGUCAUCCAUCCUAAUGGUCUCAAACCUAGAUGUCAACAUUUGAAGCCUGGACAUUUUUACGACAUUAGUUCCUUCAUGAGUCACUUGGAGGAUAUCCUAAGCCUUCUUUAACCAAAGUGCAUGUGGCAAUCCUAUGAAAUUCAUUCGUACUAAUGGCAUUGAAGAUGGAGUACAUGGCUCUAGCUUUAUUCUCACUUGCUUCAUUUUCACUUCUAUCACAUUCCAAUUUUGGCUUGAUAACAUUUGUUAGUUUACCUUCUCUAUCUAACACCUUAGGUGGAGACUAACCAAAUUCAAUGACAUUCCAAACUUUUUCACUUUGCAUUUUGAGAAAAUAUUGCAUUCUCACUUUCCAAUGAGAAUAAUUUUCACCAGUUAAGAAUGGUGGUCUCCUAAUGGAAGAUCUCUCUUAAUGAGGUUCCAUGAUUGAGAUUUAAGGACCGAAAAUGAUUUUUUCUUUAAAAACCCUCUCUGAUACCAAUUGAAAAGGUGAAUCUCAAUAGUGGAAUACACCUAAAUGGGGGUUGAAUAGGUGUUUUGACCAAUUUAUCAAAAUCUCAACUCAAAUUNNNNNNNNNNNNNNNNNNNNNNNNNNNNNNNNNNNNNNNNNNNNNNNNNNNNNNNNNNNNNNNNNNNNNNNNNNNNNNNNNNNNNNNNNNNNNNNNNNNNAAAAAAUGCACACUCUCUCACAAAGAAUGUAAAUUUUUCAAAAAAAAAAAAAAAAAAAAAACUUUCUUUUAUGGGGGGGCGCGGUGCUAUACAUUCUUAUAUAGGUAUAUAUAUAAAAAUAUAGAGACCUCACAGAGAAUGUGAGGGGUUCCUGUUCCUUGUGGGUCACUUCUAAAUCCUACACACACCCCUAAGAAACACACACACACUUUUUUUAUGGUGAACCACGACAAUAUACAUCCUUAUUUGGAUCUCUCUAUAAACAUAUAGAAGUGUGGGAGUGUGUGAGGCUCUCCCUUAUUUGAGUGGGCGUUUCUAAAACCUAUAUACAAAUUUUUUUACAUAUAGAAAUAUGAGAGGUACACGUCUAUUAUCUUUUCAUACCAUAUCUAUAUCACUCACUCUCUCUCUCACGUUUGUUUUGUGUGUAUAUAUAUAUAUAUAUAUAUAUAUAUAUAUAUAUAUAUAUAUAUAUAUAUAUAUAUAUAUAUAUAUAUAUAUAUAUAUAUAUAUAUAUAUAAAGUAUAUCCUUUUUAGGUUGUGCCUUUGAAUUAUUCCACUUNNNNNNNNNNNNNNNNNNNNNNNNNNNNNNNNNNNNNNNNNNNNNNNNNNNNNNNNNNNNNNNNNNNNNNNNNNNNNNNNNNNNNNNNNNNNNNNNNNNNCAAAGAUGAUUCAUAGUCAUUUCUCUUCAUCAUUCAAUCAAAUAGUAGACAAUCAAAAUUAUAAUAAAUUCUUGAAACUGAAAACUGAUGCUAAGAAGAGAAAGAGAGACAAUGAGACACCAUAAAUUUACAUGAAAAAUCUCCGAAGAGAUAAAAAACCAUGGGCCUAUUACUGAUUGAAAACAUCCACUAUGAAAAAUAAAAUCUGAAUACAAGGUUUUACCUACCUCAAGCCAACCAAUCUUUCCCAAACCACUUGACUAGUACCUUUACUUUCAGCUUCUCACCUUCUUCUUUCGAGGCACACUUGGAGUUUGUACCAAGCUCAAUCUCGACCUCUUCUUGAAUUCAUACAAGAACAAAAUGGGUUUUUGCACAAAACUGAGAGAAUGAGAGAUGAAUGUUUCAGAAAUCAACCCAUGUUCGUUUUUAGAAAAUCCAUUUUUUUAAAAAAAUUAUUGGAAAACUUGGACGGAUUUUCUUCAUAGGUAAACACCCUCCAAAUGGUGAGGAAAGAAAAAACUCUCUCACGGCUACUACAGUCACCACUUCCAGAAAUGAGGGAGAUUUGAUUUUAAAUGAGAGUGAAACCUUAAUCCAAAGGUUGAAAAUCGAUCUAAAAAACAUGUUAGUUGGAUCAAUUUACCCCUAUACCUAGAUUGAUCCAAAAACAGGGGAACAAAAGCCUUGCACCAACAAUAUUUCUCUCAGUUUUCUUUACUCAUUUAAAGAUGAAAAAUAGGGUUGAUUCACAUUCAAUCACCACACACUCAACCACAUACCUUGACCUCUUAGCAAGUCUUAAUCUUCAAAGGUCAAGUAGUUCGAAGAGGGAUUGGUAAACCAAGUUAGGGAACACUUAGGAAUUUUUUUCGGAAUUUCCAACCUAGCUAAACACUCACAGGUUCAUUUUUUUAGAAACAUAUAACACCUUAAGAAAAAUAUGUACAUUUGAUUUCAACUUAACAUGACAGAGUCACACUCAUUUGGGUCUAAGAUUUGACUUAUGUAUGCUACAAAAUGUAAUUAAGAGCUUCCCAAACCUCAUUUGACAUGGUGGAACCCUACCUAAGGUACAUCUUUUACAAAAAUACAUACAUUCUUAACAAAUAUAUAUAUAUAUAUAUAUUUUGAAGAAAAAUACUUACAUUUUUUUCAAGCGAACUGUGUGUUGGCGUCGUAGAUCUAAGGAACGGAAACAAUACGAAUUUAUUUAUUUAUUUUUUUAAAUUGAUCUUUAGGGUUAAAGUGCUAACCUUUAGGUUUGGAUGUUUCAGACCUUAAAUUCCAAGUGUUGAAGAUGACAUUGAAGUUGUUGGAAGUCUCGUAAACCCAUGGUCUUUUGCUUGAUGACUCAACUUUAUUCUUGGCACAUUUUUGAUAGGAAGGAAAGAAAGGUGGAGGCUAGAGCUCUCUUUAUCUCUAAAUGGUGGAAGGAAAAAGUGAUGAAGACUCUAACCCCUAGGGGGUAUUUAUAGGGUUCCUAACUAAGCUUAAGUGACUUGAGCCCACAUGGGCUUGGGUAACUUAAUUUAGGCCAAAAUGGAUCCUAAUUGAUUAAUUAACCCAAUAGGGCCUACUAAUUAAUUAAUUAGCUCAAUCUAGAGACUUUGUUCACUUAUCCUUGUGCAAUCUUGUAUAAUUACCAAAACACCCUUAUGCACAAAAGUAAACCUAUAGUCAAUUCGACCCUCAUAACUAUGCCAAAAAGAUAUAUAAGCUCAGAGCGGGGACCACUAGGAUCCAUAAGAGUACUAACUCCCUCAGGAUCCAAUUAUGAAGUUGAUUCAACAUCUUAUUACAAAGAAUCAACCAAACUCCAAUAUUCUAUGUAAAUAACAACAAGACACUACGUGCUCGGGUCUAUGACCUAGUAUCCAUUGUGUUCAGUCUUCCCAUGAACUGGUGUUUUAGUCUAACAAGGUGAAAGCUAUCAACCUUUCAAGACUCUCUACCAUCCUUGUGUUACAAAUCCUCCUAUUGUAUAUUCAAUUGACAUGUCUUAGCUUUCAAAGAGCUUAUGUCAAGUUCUACUUAAGGAACUAUUAUGACCAUAGUUUCCAUGAACACAUCCCCUUAAGAUCACCCAAGGGGACACAUUGUCUCAAUCCCAUGAGAUAUCAUGGUGUCUAUUGAGAAUGCCUAUUGUUACCGACUUCCAUUAACAGUGACCCAAUCCAUAGGGAAUAUAUGAUCAACUUACGAUCUCACCCAUAGGUAAAAGUCAUUGCUAAUUUUAGUACAAUCUCAAUAUUCUCUCAAGGUUGAGAGAUAACACAAUGAAGUAUCUUGGUGAGGUCAUGACUACUUGAUAGUCUUAAGUCAUGACUCAUCAUAGGUCUUGUCCAACGUGUAAUCAUACACAGUAGUGUACUCACCAUGGGAAACCCAUCCCAAUAACGAAGACCAACCAUCCCUCCAAUUAGGAGGUGGUGCACUACAACCUCUAAUGGGUUGCCUAGACCCAUAAACCGGUUGUGAACAAGUCAAUUAUUUGCAAGGAACCCAUGACUUAAAGAUCUUCUAUGCAACUCCUAAUGCACCUAAGUCAUGUACAAUGCAAAAUAUGUUGACAAGACUUCUCAUAAAAUAUAAUACAUGGAAUAAAGAUAGAUAAAAGUGAAAUGGGAACAUCAUUAAAUAAAUAAGGAAUUUCAAAUUUAAUACACCAUGUUAUGCUUUUAAGAGCUCUAUCUUAAGACUAUAAUCCUAUUUGACCUUAUUUAGGUCUAGGUAUUCACUUAUGGAAGCCUGAGAAUGAAUUAAAGGUCUUUCCUUACCUUGUUAGGCUUUUCUAAACCAUAAGAACAUCCUUAAGAAAAAAUACAUAUAUUUUUAUGGAAAACAUGUACGUUCUUAAAAAAACAAAAUAUGUGCGUUUUUUUUAAAGGAGAUUGUGACCUUAUUUUGCCUUAUUUAGGUUUUAAUAUUAACUUAUGGAAGCCUUGUAAUAAUUUUGAGGCUUCCCAUUCCUCGUUGGUCAUUUUUAAAGUCUACGUACAUCUUUAAGAAAAAUAUGCACAUUCUUAAACAAAGUAUGUAAAUUCUUCAAAAAAAAAAAAAAAAAAAACCUUUUCUUUUAAGGUGGACCAUGGUUCUAUUCAUUCUUAUUUAGGUCUAAAUAUUAAAUUAUAGAAGCCUCAUAAUGAAUUUGAGGUCUUCCUGUUCCUUGUAGGUCAUUUCUAAAUCCUACAUACAUCCUUAAGAAACAUACAUGCAAUUUUUUUAAGGUGAACCAUGACAAUAUACAUCCUUAUUAGGAUCUCAAUAUUAACAUAUGGAAGUGUUGGAAUGUUUGAGGCUUUCCCUUAUUUGAUUGGGCAUUUCUAAAACCUAUGUACAAUUUUUUUAACAUAUGGAAAUAUGAUAGGUACAUGACUAGUAUCUUUUCAUACCAUAUCUAUAGCAUUCAUUCUUACUAUCAUGUUUGUUUUGUGAUUAUAUAUAUAUAUAUAUAUAUAUAUAUAUAUAUAUAUAUAUAUAUAUAUAUAUAUAUAUAUAUAUAUAUAUAUAUAUAUAUAUAUAUAUAUAUAUAUANNNNNNNNNNNNNNNNNNNNNNNNNNNNNNNNNNNNNNNNNNNNNNNNNNNNNNNNNNNNNNNNNNNNNNNNNNNNNNNNNNNNNNNNNNNNNNNNNNNNUCAAAAAAAAAAAAAAAAAAAACCCUUUCUUUUAAGGGGGGGCACGGGUCUAUUCACUCUUAUUUAGGUGUAAAUAUAAAAAUAUAGACGCCUCACAAAGAAUGUGAGGUCUCCCCGUUCCCUGUGGGUCACUUCUAAAUCCCACACACACCCCUAAGAGACACACACGCACUUUUUUUAAGGGGAGCCACGACACUAUACACCCCUAUUUGGGUCUCUCUAUUUACAUAUGGAGGUGUGGGAGUGUGUGAGGCUCUCCCCCAUUUGAGUGGGCGCUUCUAAAACCCAUGUACACUUUUUUUAACACAUGGAAAUAUGAGAGGGACACGUCUAGUGUCUUUUCUCACCCUAUCUAUAGCACUCUCUCUCUCUCUCACGUGUGUUUUGUGUGUAUAUAUAUAUAUAUAUAUAUAUAUAUAUAUAUAUAUAUAUAUAUAUAUAUAUAUAUAUAUAUAUAUAUAUAUAUAUAUAUAUAUAUAUAUAGAUAUAUCCUUUUUAGGUUGUGCCUUUGAAUUAUUCCACUUCUAAUGGUUUGAAUUGUUUUUUCUAUUCUAAUGACUAUAAUUACCAUGGUACCAAGAAUUAUGUUUACCACGACCAUGAUUGUGUCCUUAGCCUUGUUCACGUCCAAGUCCAACUCAAUGUCUAGGAGCUUGGACGGAUGUGACAGUUGCUUCUAGCAAUGACACAUACCUAAUAGUAUGAGGUUGAUGAUUCUUCGGUAGAAGUUCAUUAUUUUGUUUAGCCAUAAGAAGACAUUAAACUAAUUCAAAAUAUUUAGUGAAAUGAUGUUCUUGAUAUCGUUGCCAUAGGAGUACAUUCGAGGCAUGAAAAAUGGUGUUCAUUAUUCUUUAAUGAUUUUUUCUCCAUAUAAAUUGUGAACAACUUUUGAAUAAAGUCGAGUUGUGGUCAUUGACAGACUUGAAAUUUUGUAAUCUCAAGUGCAUCUAAUCAUGAUGUGCUUUUGGAAGGAUUACAAUCUCGUGGUGGCCAUAUCAUUAUGUUAUAUUAUUCCAAAGGAUCAAAGUAUCAUUCCAUUAGAUUAUUUCAAAGGAUGAAAAUUCUUUGAUUGUAAGGAAUUCACCUUUUAUUCCUUCAUCAAUGUGAUAAUGAAGGAAUAUUAAUGCUCUAGUACGAUCUUGUGAGGAUGCCUCAUUUUAUUUUUUAAUGGUCUUUUCAAGAUUCAUAUUGUUUAGGUGAAUUUUAGCAUCUAGAAUCCAUAUAAAUAGUUUGCCUGAAAUAGGGAGUGUAACAAACUCAAACUUGGUAAGAUUUGACAUUAUUUGAAAACUAUAUUUGAAAUAAUUUAAUUGGAAUAAUAUUUCAAUUUACCAAAAUGAAUUAUAAAUAAAUGAAUAAAAUUAUCUAACAAUAUUUUAUCAGGUUAAUAUUCAUUAAUAAAAACAUAACGAUUUAAGAUUUUGUUAUAUUUUAUCUCUAAAGGAUUAUUAUAACUAUGGUAAAAAAAAUGCAUGAACAUCAUGUAGUAUUAACAAAAUAAAAAUUACGAAUUGAUAGCUUACAUAGCUUUUGGCUAUGGAUUAUUUUUAUCAUAACAAAAAUGUGUAAAUUUGUAUAUAUCUUUAGGCUAUGAAAUAUUCAUUAUUUAACUUCUAACUAUACAAUUUUGUUUUGUGUAACAUUUGGUUAUAUCAUUAUAAUUAAAAGAAAUUAGAAAUUACGUGUAAGUCAUUCUUUAUAUUUUUAUAACUUUAUAAUUUCUCAUAUAACCUUUGGCUAUACAAUUGUACAUAUUUUACAUAUUUUUUUAUAACUUCUAGUUGUGAUUUUUUUUCAUAAUUUUUGUCUAUAAAAAAAAUAUUUUCAAGUUUCUUCAUCGAAAAAAGGAUAAAUUAAAUAGAAAAUAAUACAAAAGUAGAAGUUUAUCACAUACCUUUUAGAGGAGAAAAAAGAUAUUUUAUGAGAAUAAGUUUGUCCUUUUAGUGUUUGAAUCUUAUACAAAAACUUAUAAUAAGAGUUUUCUUUUGGAGAGACUAGAAUUAGAGAAGAGAUAGAGUUCUAAAAUAACUUUGAGGUAUCCAUUUCAUUGACCCAAGUUUCCUAUUUAUAAGAGUUUGAAAAAACUAGGAUUAAUUAUAAUAUUUAAUUCUUUAUGGGGAAAAAGUAAAAAAUAAAAAAGGCUUUUAAUCAUUAAUUAAGAGUACUUGCUUAAAUACAAAAUUUCACAAAAAUUUAAACUAAAUUCCUUUAAAAAAGAAUAGAUAACUUGUUUUAAAAAAUAGUUAAACUAUGUUAAUUUUAUAUAAUUUGAGUGAGAAAUAAAUUUAUUAUAAAUUGACAAAGUUGUCAUUCACAAAAAGCAUCAAAUAUAUUUGAUUUUUUUUUUCAUUUUCAUUUUUCAUUUUUUUAAGGAAAAAUCAGAUUUAAAUUUUUUUCAUAAAUUGAUAGCUAAAAGAUAAAUUUACAAAAUUUCAAAUCCCCACAUGUUUCCAUUAUUUUUACCCCAUAAAUUAUCCCAUCCUUAAUAAGAUUGAAUUUUGCAAAUUAUUAUUGAUUACUCAUUCAAAAAUAAAAAUAAAUUACACUAAAAAUCAUAAAAUUUAAAUUAGAAAAAUAUUUAAUAUAAAUUUUAAAAAUUCAGCUUUAUAAAAAAUAAAAAUAAUUAUCAAUUCUAAUAAGAUUUUUUUAAUCAAAAUUCUAAAGCAUAAUUCACAUUCAUCUAAAUAUUUAUUAGAAUUAAUAAUUUUUAAAAAUAUAAAUUAAAAUUUGAUACCCCUUCGGAGAUAAAAUUCCAAAAAUCAAUGAAUUAAUUUAGAAAAGAAUACAUAUUUCAAUCUCAAAUCUUCAAAUCUAAACAUAUACUAACUUAGAAAAGUUCUAAUAGUUUCUAACAAGUCUAAGUGGGUAUUUGGUAAAUCAAUUUAAUAACUUAAUUCAAGUUAUUAAAUAAAUUAAAUAUAGUUGGUAAAAUAAUUUAAUGGUAUGACUUAAAGUAAAAAACAACUUUAAGUAAUAAGUAAAAAUAAUUAAUUUAUUCUUAAAUUCAUGUUUUCAUUUUAUCUUUUUACCCUCAUUUAUCUUAGUUCCACGAUUUAUUUUGCUAUUAUACAACUUCCAUCAUUACUUGAUCUCAUUUACCCUCAUUAUAAUUUAUGGGGGUAAGUAUAUUAAUUUGAUGAUUUAGAAUAAAUUUUAAAUUAAUUUUAUUAAAAAAUCUUAAUAUUUAAAGUAAAAAUUAAGUAAUAAGUUUUAAGUCAAUAACUUCAAUAUAAUUUUACUUAAAAUCAACUUAAGUCAUUGAGUAAUAAUUAUUGAGUUUUACCAAACACCCCAUAAUUAUACUUAUUAUCAUACUACCAAUUUCUUAUCAAUUACAUAAUUAUUUAUUAUAAAAUUUUAAUAUGUUAAUGAAUUAUGAUAUUUAAAUAUUUAAAAAUAUGUUGAUUGCAAACUAAUUUAACAAGAAAUAAAAUAAUAUUAUUUUGUAAAUAUUUUUGUAAUGUAAAAGAUAAGUAAUUUAAUAUUUUUUAACAUUUACUAAUAAUUAAAAUAUAAAAAAUUUAAAUAUUUAACAAUACUUAAUUUAUUCAAAUUUAAAACAAAUUUAGAUCUUAGAUAAAAAUACAAUCACCACUGAAAUUUUAAAUAUUUAAAAUACACAUAAAGUUUAAAUAUUUAUUUAAUUUCAGGAAUCUAAGAACUAAGGAAGGGACCAAUAGUGACUUGUCGAUCUAAAAGUAUGCAAGUUCUAUUUUCUUUUCCCUACAAUAUCAUUUUUUUCCUUGCAACAUCAUUUUUGUGGUGGAAAUUAUGCGGAGGACCAGUGUACUUAAUUGACAGGGCUGGCGAAAGCGAUGACGUGGAAUGAUCAAAGCAAUGAGAUGUCGUGGAAGCAACCAACUAUCGGGACGCUUCUAUAUUUUACCAUGCCAUAACAAAAGUUUCCAUAAUUCGCAAGUUCUGGAGAGAUACGAAACCGAGAUAGAAUAUAAUUUAGAAAGGAAAAUGAAAAUGAAAGCUGAGAUAAGGAAUGAGCAUCACCACCUCCUAGAAGUAUCCAAGGGUUUAACCCACUCUCUGAAAUUUGCUAUAAAUACUCAGCAAUUUCCCGUGUUGUUCAUCAAUACUUAAAAGAGUUUGAAUUUAUCAAUCACAUUAGUAGCAAUGGCAGACGAGAUUAUCGUGUUGGAUUUCCGGCCUAGCAUGUUUGGUAUGAGGGUCAGAGUUGCCCUGGCAGAGAAGGGUCUCAAGUAUGAAUAUAGAGAGGAGGACCUGUGGAACAAGAGCCCUUUGCUUCUUGAGAUGAACCCAGUUCAUAAGAAAAUCCCAGUUCUGAUCCACAAUGGAAAGCCCAUUUGUGAGUCUCUGAUAAUAGUUCAGUGUAUUGAUGAGGUUUGGUACGAUAAAUCUCUGCUUUUGCCCAGUGACCCAUACUAGAGAGCUCAGGCCAGGUUCUGGGCGGACUACAUAGACAAGAAGGUAUGCCUUUGCUGUUGAUUUAAAGCAUUCUUUUCCAUUGAUUCAUGGCGAUUGACUCAGAUUUUGAUUAUGGUGAGGGAUUUGUCCAAAAUGCUGGGUUUCUUCACACGUUCCCUUCUGAUAUUGAGUUUUGUGGGCUUUGGGGUUCCAAACUAGAACUUUUACUGAUUCUCCUUGCUGUUUGUUCAACAAGACUAUACUCUGCAUUUCUGAUAUGGGUUUAAAUUUCUUGUUUAUGUUGAAUACGAAUUCUGUUCGUUCCAUCAGGAAAAACAGAUCUCAAGAAUACCUUUUUUCCCCAAGCAAGGCGAAUACAUAAACCAGAUAUUUAAAGAAAGGUGUUUGGUUUUUUGUUAUCUUGCUGUUCAACAUCUUGCACAACAGUUGUUUUAAUAUAUGUUCUGUUUCUUUGAUCUCUUUCUUCUCAUUUUCUGAAACCCAAUUUGAGGGGAAAAACUUCAGCAAAUGAUACAUUCUUUCAGCUGAUUCUGAUCUUUUUUCUUCCACCGGCACUUCAUUUUAUUCUUAGCAAAUGAUAUUUCUAUGCGGAAGAGUCCUUAAUAAACUUGUCCAACUUUACAGAAUUUGAAACUUGAUGAAAUUCUCCAAAAAAAAUAAUCCUUCUCUCUUUGACUCCAUUAUUUUCCACAGCUCUAUGAACUUGGAAGGAAGAUAUGGUCAACCAAAGGAGAAGAGCAGGAAACAGCCAAGAAGGAAUUCAUAGAGUGCCUUAAGCUUUUGGAAGGAGAGCUUGGAGAGAAGCCUUACUUCGGUGGUGAAAAAAUUGGGUUUGUAGAUGUGGCUCUGGUGACCUUCUCUUGCUGGUUUUAUGCAUACGAGACCUUUGGCAACUUCAGCAUAGAGGCGGAGUGCCCCAAGUUGAUCGCUUGGACCAAGAGGUGCAUGGAAAGGGAGAGCGUGUCGUCUUCUCUUGCAGACCCCCACAAGGUCCAUGGCUUUGUCGUGGUGUUGAGAAAGAAGUUUGGUAUAGAGUAGAAGGGGCACAUGGGUCCUCUCUCGAAGACCCCGCAAGGUCCAUGACUUUGUCACGUGGAUGAGAAAGAAGUUUGGUAUUGAAUAAAAGGGAAAUAUCACGGUCUAUGCUCUAUUGAGUAGUGUUGUAUUGGUAAUGUAAGAGGAGUGUUUGCUUAAGUUUGCUAAGUGAUAUGGGUUUGCUGAGCUAUGUUGUUGGAAAUAAAUGUUUUGAAUUUGUUUUGGACUAGAGACGUGUUCCUGUAUUAAAGAAAUAAAAGUCUUUGACUACAUUUCCAUCGUGUCCACAUGAACAACUAUUAAGACAAAUUGGUUAAGACAUGCCCUAGAUAGAAAUAGAUAGAAGUGAGUCAUGAAAUGCACAUAUCUAACCUGCUCUUAUUACCAUAUUUUUUUUUUUUUAAAAAAAACUUUGAUAUGAGAAGUCAAAGAGCAUGUCGUUGUUGAUUUUUUUUUCUUUUUCACAAGAAUAUAUAUAUAUCUUCCAUAAAAUUAUCUUCAUGAAAAUUUUCUAUUUUCAAUUUUUUUUCUCUAUUCCAUUUUCUCAUAUUUAUUGAUUUUAAUUAUUUAUAGAUGUUUUAAAUAUAAAAUAAUAAUAUAAAAUAAAUAAUUAAUAAGAAAAAUUUUAAUAUAACAAUAAAUAAAUAAAAUGUUGAAAGUAAUAUUAUGGUAGGAAGGAUGUAUCACUCUUUUUUGGUUUAAACUAAGAUAUGUUACCAUCAUUUAUGUGCUAGAUGUCUUAUUAAUGGUGAAAUAACGUGAAUUCAAAGGGUGUUAAUGUAACAUUGAUCAACACAACCCUUGAAAAAAUGAAUACCACUCUUUUAUAAAUAAAAAACACCACUAAAUUGUAUUAAAAGUAUCAUUGUAGUGUGAAUGUUGUACUAUUCUUCUUUGGUUUAAGGUAUGUUUCCAUUUGUUAUGUGCUCAACGUAUUAGGUAAUGAUGAAAUAACGUGAAAUGAGUGAAUGUUAUUAUGCAACAACACCGAUCAACACAACCCUUAGAAAAAGAGGGUACCACUCAUUUAUGAAAAAUCUACUAUGUUAAAAGUACUACUAUGGUGGGAAGAAUGUAUCACUUGUCUUUAAGUUCUACCAUGGUAGGAAAAAUGUAUCACUCUUCUUUGGUUUACGGCGAGGUUUGUUACUAUUCAUUACAUGCUCAACGUCAUAUGUGAUGAGGAAAUAAUGUGAAUUGAGAUGGUGUUAUUUCACUAUAACACUGAUCAACACAAAUCCUUGGAAAAAAGGGUACUACUCUGUAGACAUAAAAAAAAUUAGUGGAUUAAAUUACCACUAAUUUGGUCUUCAAAAUGAAUAAAAAAAAAAAUAUAUAUCCUCUUAUGGAUAAGUUUCCUUAAUCUCCAACUAUAAAAAGGAUAAUAAUAAUAAUAAUAAGAAAAUUAUUAUUAUUAUUAUUAUUAUUAUUAUCUUGUUGAUAAAACCUCUUGGGAGAAGAAAAUUUGCUAAAAUCAAGGAACUAAAUCCCUUGAAUUAAGCAACUAAACUCCGAGAAUUUGAAAUUCAAAUUCCAUAUCUUCACCUAUAAAUAGAGGUGUCUUCUUUCAAGAAAGGAGAUGAAGAAAUUGAGAAAUAAAAAAAAAAUUCAGAAAGGAAAAUCCUAAGGAGAAAAUCCAAAGGCAAUUUUGUACAGGAAAAAAAGGUUUCAUAACAAAAGAAAAAGUUUCAUCAAAUUUCUCUGCAAGUUUGGUAAAUGGUAGAACUGCUAAACGCAUUCUUUGCCAUUUAACGAGUUCAUUCGGGAAUAAGCCACUUGUGACCCUCGAUUGAUCUUUGAAAUCAAGAAAACGUCAUCGUCGUCUUCCAAAGUGUGAUUAAGGCAAAAGAAUUAGGGGGGAAAAUUAUUUUGGAAAGAAUAUUAUUUUGAGAUUUUACCCACAAUAUUUUCAAUUUUAAUAAAUGUUUUGUUCGCAUUAUUUUCCUAUUUAUUUUGUUAAUUUGGUAGGACCAUUUAUGAAAUUUGUGGGUACAAAUUUCUAGCACGCCCAGCGAGACUUCUUUGCCUCUCGUCUCUUUUUAGAAGAUUGAUCUCUACUUCAUUGAUGACACCCAAAAGAACUCAAGUUGUGCAUGUAAACAAGGGCAAUGACAAGAUCAUCAUUGCACAAUCAACACAUGACGCCGCUAUGGGCCCCAUGACUCAUAGCAAAGCAAAAUCAACAUCUUCACUCUCAACAAAACAAAUAAGUGAGUUUGCUUGUUUGCUAAAAUCGGUAAGAACGUGUGAUGAGCACCAGCCACUCAUCACAUUGGUCUCUCUAGGGGCAAAGAGCCAUAGUCCUCGUAGUAGGGGAAAACUCACUUCAACACUACAGGACUUAGGAUAAAUCUCCUAGCUCUGUUAUCGAUUCUAACUCUAGCACCGGCUCAUACUCCGAGUCGCCAGCUGGAAUGUCAAAGGAGGAAAACUACUCCAAUCGUUUCGACUCUUUUACUUCUCCCUUCUCGAUGACUAUGCUGGUAAUGGCAACUGGCACUACAUUUGUAGAGGAACAAUUAGUAGAGAUGGCUCAUGGCAUCGCCAAACUCACCAAAAUGGUUGAGGAGAAGGAUAUGCAAAUAGCCUCCCUCAUAAAUAAGGUUGAGGCACAAGUACAAAAUAUGGGUGAGUCAAGUCAAGGACUCAACCACUUUCUGAAUGUUGCAUCUCUUCUCGAUGAUGCACCACAUGCGUAUAGGACAAUCCAAGUUGAGAGACAAAUGGCGGAAUCUGCCUCAAUGGCAUCAUUAUCUAUCCAACAACUUCAGUACAUGAUAACUAACACCAUUAGAGUGCAGUACAGUGGACCCUUACAGAGUACGCUCAUGUACUCAAAACGUUACACUAAGAGGAUUGAUAACCUACGUAUGCCUGUGGGUUAUCAACCUCCAAAAUUUCAAUCAUUUGCAAAAUUUCAAUCAUUUGAUUGGAAGGGAAAUCCAAAACAAUAUAUUGCCCAUUUCAUUGAAACUUGUAACAAUGCAGGUACAGAUGGUGACUUAUUAGUUAAACAAUUCGUCCGUUUUAUUCGAAGGAAUGCUUUCGAUUGGUACAUAGACCUUACACUUAAGUGUAUCGAUAAUUGAGACCAAAUGGAAUGUGAAUUCCUCAAUAGUUUCUAUAACACCCGACGAACUGUAAGCAUGAUGGAACUUACUAACACUAAGCAAUGGAAAGACAAGCCGAUUAUAAACUAUAUCAAUUAUUGACAUUCCUUAAGCCUUGACUACAAAGAUAGAUUAUCUGAGGUAUUGACCAUGGAAAUGUGCAUACAAGGAAUGCAUUGGGGUCUCCUAUACAUUCUCUAAGGGAUACAACCUCAUACAUUUGAAGAAUUAGCUACCAAAGCACAUGACAUAGAGCUCAACAUAGACAACCAUGGUUCUAAGAAGGACCUUACCAUUGAUCGAUAAAGAGAAAGACAUGAUGGGAAAAUGAGUGACAAGACCUCAAAGAAACCUAUUCAGGAGUCAAUGACAAUAAAUAUAACUCUUGUCAAAAUCUCAGCAAGAGAUAAAAAAAAGGAAGUAAAAGAGGUCAGACUAACCCAGGAAAAUAAGAUGUGUCAAUUCAUCUUGAAGGAAUUAGAGGAGAAGAAGUAUCCUUUUCCUGACUUUGAUGUGCCUAACAUGUUGGAAGACUUGCUCCAAAAAAAGGUUAUUAAGUUACUUGAGUGUAAGCAUCCAAAAAGAAUGGGUCGUGUUAAUGAUCCAAUCUACUAUCAUUACCAUCGAAUUGUUAGUCAUCCUAUGGAGAAAUGUUUCAUUUUAAAAGAUCUCAUAAUGAAACUUGCAAAGCAAAGAAGAAUUCAUUUAGAUCUGGAUGAAGUAGUAGAGUCAAAUCAUGCUAUAGUCACAUUUGAGUCAUUUGAUCCUGUUCCAUUACAUGUUCCACUUAAGAAACUAGGGACAUGUGGCAAUACUAUUCAAUGUGAGUCACCAAAACCAAAGCAAACAUAAGUGUCAUGUUAGGAUAGCCUUCUUCGCCUUUGCUCUGAUAAUAAAUCAAUGUCAUAUGACGAAGAAGGUUGGAUAUUGGUGACACGAAGAAGACUUUGCAAGAAGCAAGGGUCGCAUUCAUACCCUAACCUUCUUAGGAGGGAAUGACAUGAGUGGAAUACUCACCAACAUUUAAAGAAGAAAGAAAAAAAGAAUCUUAAAAGAAAACAAGCGAUUGUACAAAUAGACGACUUUUUGGUCCAGAAACUCAUCACCCCUAUCACCCUAGAGAAAUACUUCCCUCUAGGGUUCUUUGAUAAAAGGGUGGCAGUAUCAACUCAUAUGGUCUCUUGCUAAGAGACUUCAAAAGAAGAGGGGUUAAGUGAAGAUGAGGAAAACAUUCUUGGUGUUGAGUCAAGAAAAACUAAGGAAGAAGAGGGGGUUGUAGCAAGCCUACAACACCUACUCUCACUAUUUAGUAGCCACGAAAUGCUACAACUACCUAAUGAGAUACAAAAUGUGUUGAUUCAAGUACUUAAGGAUCCAACACUCUAUGCCACCAAAAUAAAGGGGGCAAAAAGACUUGAGGAUGAAAGCCACAAUUGUGCCAAAUGUUGUGCAGCCAUCAUUUUUACUAACGAAGACCUUCAGUUAGGGUCAAAACCACAUAAUCGACCCCUGUUUGUUACUAGGUACAUACGGGAACAAAAUAUCACUUGCAUUUUAAUUGAUGAAGGGUUUGGAAUAAAUAUCAUGCCUAAAGCAACAAUGAAAUGACUCAGGAUUGCUACAAAAGAACUAACUCAGAGUCGCCUAAUGAUCUAAGGCUUUAAUCAAGGGGGACAACGAGCUAUUGGUAUGAUUCACCUAGAGCUUGUUACAGGUGAAUUGAGUUCGAACACAUUGUUUCAUGUAAUCAUUGCAAAACAUUUUACAACUUAUUACUCGAGCGACCAUGACUUCAUGAGAAUGGGGUAAUUCUUUCGACACUAUACUAGUGUUUCAAAUUCUAUAGAGGAGGGGUAAAGGUAGUAUAGACUGAUACUAAGCCAUUUACAGAAGUCGAGUCUUAUUUUGUUGAUGCUAAAUUUUACAUAGAAAAUGAUGUUAUGCAGGAAGUCCUUCUUGCGAUUAUUCUCUCCACUGGGAAUGCUAAACUUAAGGAAAAAGUUGAGCUAUGUAAGUUGACAUCAGCAGGGAAAUUUCAUAACAAAUGAUGACUCAAAUAAAAAAAAAAGAGAAAUUUUCAAAAAAAUUGACAUUGGACUUGACAAUUCUCACUACUUUCCUAGUUUUUAGGUACAUCCCAAUAUCUCGACGAAGUGAGGGUCAACCAUUUUUCAUAGAAGACAAAAACAAAGUACAACCCUGAGGAUUGGAAAAUGGGGACCUUUAAGUCUUGAAAGAAGAUACGACCAUUCCUCUUCCAAACUUACAACUUAUCUCUAGGGAUGAAACACAAAAAUCCAACAAAACCUCAAGAGAUCAAACAAAGCAAGAAUUCUUUCCUGGUAAAAGAAUAAAUGAGGAGUUCAACCCUAAGACUUACAAGUUAUUAGCCAAGGCAAGGUAUUACUUCACUUCGUCAUCACGAUUAGGAGAACUUAGCCUCGAGACUACAGGUGAAAAGAUGCAUGACUUUAACGAAACUCAAAAAAAGUUGAAACAACAAGGGUAUGCAGUCAAACCUUCUAGUGCAGGUUUAGGGUUUGUACCUUUUGAGCCUAUCAAAAUUUUAGUUAAGACUAAGAAGACUAAGGCAAGUACACAACAUAUCAUUGUAGAAGACAUGGAGGAGAGUAGUGGGUCUAACUCUCCUUCUCGAAUUUCAAUAUUUGAUCGGAUUGAAGCUCUAAUUACAUGAGCUUCAGUGUUCACUAGGUUGGGCGAUUUUAACCAAGUAUAAUGUAAUUUAGCACAUAUUCCACAAAGGUCAAUACAACGAAGGAUUAAUACUCUACCCAAAAGUCACGACGACAAAAUCCCAAUAAGAAGUAGUGUAGUGAACUAAAUAAGAAUGCAAAAAUAAGAAGUUUAAUCCCAUCAAGGAUGAAACACCAUUCAACUUGGGAAAUUUGUACUAAUGGCUAGUUAAAAUUAAAAUGACAUACCAUCGUGAUCACCAAGCAGUCGGACGAGGGAUGCCCUAAAGAUGUUAAAUAAAGUUUGACACACAGUAACUACCAUAUUACAGUAGAAGUUGACUCUAAUUCAGAGUUUUUAGAAGAUGAACUAUGAGAAGCUCCUCAAGUAUUUGAGGACGGGGGGCAGGCCACUGUAGAUGAGUUAAAAGAGCUCAAUUUAGGUACAAAUGAGGACCCAAGGCCAAUUUAUGUAAGUAUGCUUUUAAGUCCUUCUGAAGAGAAAAGUUAUUUUGAAUUGUUACUCAAUUAUAAAGAUGUCUUUGCAUGGUCGUACAAAGAAAUGUCAGGUCUUGAUCCAAAAGUUGUAGUACAUUAACUCACGGUGAAACAUGGUGUCCGAUUGAUUAAGCAAGCCCAAAGACGAUUUUGACCAGAACUUGUUUCGCAAAUAGAAACGAAAAUUUUCAAAUUGAUUGAAGUUGGUUUUAUUAAGGAGGUAAAGUACCCGACAUGGAUUGCGAACAUUGUUCCAGUGAAGAAAAAGAAUGGGUAGAUCCGUGUCUGUGUAAAUUUUAGAGAUUUAAACAAUGCUUGCCCAAAAGAUGACUUCCCAUUACUAAUUAUUAAGCUUAUGGUUGAUGCAACUACAGGUCAUGGAACUUUAUCCUUCAUGGAUGGAUCAUUGGGGUAUAACCAAAUACAAAUGGUGCCAGGGGAUGAAGAACUUACUGCAUUUUGUACUCUAAAGGGUAUUUACUGUUACAAAGUGAUGCCUUUAAGACUAAAUAAUGCAGAUGCAACGUAUCAACAUGCCAUGCAGAAAAUAUUUGAUGACAUGCUUCAUAAGAAUGUCGAGUGCUAUGUUGAUGAACUGGUGGUCAAGUCUAAGAAGAGAGAAGACCACCUGCAAGAUCUUCGUAUGGUGUUUGACAGGUUAAGAAGGUACCAACUUAUGAACCUACUCAAAUGUGCUUUUGGUGUUACUUCUAGUAAGUUUCUAUUUUAUUGUUCGACACCGUGGCAUUGAAGUGGAUCAAUCUAAGAUCGCAACCAUUCGAGCUAUGCCAGAGCUGAGGAAUCUUUAAGAACUUAGAAGUCUUCAAGGACGUCUUACUUUUAUUCGACGAUUUAUUUCAAAUCUUGUAGGACGAUGUCAAUCCUUCAACCAACUUAUGAAGAAAGAUGUCCCAUUUGUUUGGGACAAAGCUUGUCAUAAUCCCUUUGAGAGAAUAAAAAAGUAUUUGGCUAAUCCACCAAUCUUAGGUGCUCUUAUGGCAGGGAAGCCAUUGAUACUCUACAUUGCCGCACAAAAAUGCUCUCUUGGAGCAUUGUUUGCACAACAAAACGAGGAGAACAAAGAAAAUACAUUGUAUUACUUAAGUCAAACUCUAAUGGGAUCAGAACUAAAUUACUCCCUAAUAGAGAAAACUUGUCUUGCUUUAAUCUUCUCGACAAAAAAGCUAAUACAUUACAUGCAGGCAUACACAGUACACUUAAUAGCACACGUUGAUCCCAUUAAGUAUGUGCUAUCAAAGCCAGUUAUUUCAAGACGAUUAGCAAGAUGGGGGUUGUUACUCACUGAGUAUGAAAUAAUCUACAUUCCUUAAAAGGUAAUCAAAGGACAACGCAGACUUCUUGGCAGAUCAUCCUAUCCUUGCAACAUGAAAAAUUUUAGAUGACUUCCCCGAUGAGGAGAUCUUUUAUGUUGAUGUUUUUCCUUCGUGAAUGAUGUUCAGGUCAGCACGUUAUGAUGGAACAGGUGCAGAUGUUGUAUUUGUCUCACAACAAAGAUAGAUACUACCAUAUUCAUUUGUUCUUAGUGAGAGAUGCUCUAACAACGUUGCUAAAUACCAAGCCUUAAUUAUUGAACUACAAAUAGCGAUUGAAAUGAAAAUCACAAGCUUAGAGAUAUGUGGGGAUUCUAAGUUGGUAAUCAAUCAACUUCUAGCCUUGUAUAAGGUUAAAAGUGAUGACUUAGUUCCUUACUUCCAAUAUGCUACCCAACUGAUGGAAAAGUUUGAGCGAACCUCUUUAGUUCAUAUUCCAUGAAAGAAAACUAAAUGGCAGAUGCUCUAGCUAAUCUAGUUGCAAGUUUGACACUGCUUAAGGACGAGACUAUACACAUCACUCUUUGCCAUAAGUGGGUACUGCCGCCAUUGCCACUAUUACAACAAGAAGAAGUAAACGCUACAUCGGUAUUUACUAUUGACAACGAAGAUUGGCGACAACCAUUAAUUGACUACUUAGAGCAUGUGAAGUUACUUGAUGAACUAAGGCAUUGAACAUAAAUACGACAUUGAGCUCCAUACUUCAUUUACUACAAAGAAACACUUUAUCGAUGCUCAUUCCAUGGAGUACUUCUUCGAUGCCUAGAAGGAGAAGAGACAAAUCAAGCAAUUGAAGAAGCUCAUUCUGAGAUCUAUAGGGCUCACCAAUCAGGGCCAAAACUUCAUUUUCGAAUCAAAAGGAUGGGAUACUAUUGGCCAACUAUGGUUAAGGAUUGUAUGGAAUAUGAAAAGAAGUGUCAAUCAUGCCAAUUCCACUCAAAUUUUAUACACAACCCCUUGAGCCACUCCAUCCUACAAUUGCGUCAUUGUAGACCCUCAAUUUUGUCCCUUUAGCACAUGUCUUUAAGUUCGUUUUCAGUGCUUCAAAAUAGUUCCUUGGUGGCCCAUGGCUACUCAUACCACUUACCUUUUUCUGAGUCACCUCGGAGAUUUUGGUGGAGGAAUUAUUUGAUCCUUUAUUGUGACCCUUGGCAGCCCUAACUUAGACUUAGACUUUUCUUGUUUUUUUUUUUUUUUUUUUAGGAUAGCUUUUAGAUACAUUUGGCCCAUUUGGACAUUUUUAGCGUGACUUGUAUGACUUGCAUGGUUACAUGGCUUUUGGGCUCGACUUUUUGUUUAUUGGUUUAUUUUUAUUUUAUUUCAUUUUAUUUAUUUUUACCGUUUCCUAAUUUAUUUACUUGCUUAUUUAUUCAUUCAAUGAUUUAACUUCAAGAUUUUCAUGUUUUUGCAAGGAAACUUACCAUUGGAGUUUAAGGAAGGUGGGACUCUCCUUGGAAGGUUUUGGAGGGGAAUUUGAAAUUGAGAAGAUUGCUUUUGAUUGGAAGAUUUAAAAAAAGGAAGAAAAGAAGAAAGGAAAUAGGAGAAUUUUCCUUUUUGGAAAGAAAUUUAGGUCUUGAGGGGUGAUAUAUAUAGGUGAGAAAAGGAAAAGAGGGGGAAGGAUUUUUUUUGGGGGUAGAGCACGCGUUGGAGGAUUGGGAGGAGAUUUGAGGAGGUUCUUUUUGGAGCAGCAGGCAUUGGAGGAAAAUUUGUCGGGGAAAAGAACAGAGGAAACGAAAAGAGCAAUUGCAACCAAGGCUGUCCAGGUAUGCACCUCGUUGCUUUUGGAAUUCUGACCUAUGUUUGAUUUUUUUCCACGUGAAUAUUUAAUGGUAUUGUUGAUUUUGUGUGGACGAAAGGGGCCACAAUUUGUUUUGUUGAGAUUGGUUGCUUGCUUGUUUGCCUUGUUUUGGUUUUGAUUGUCAUUGAUGUCUUCGGAAGCAUAUAACUCCAUGCCUGAAUGUGAUCAGAUUCUGUUCUUCAUUUAAAUCAUAUUCUGCAUUUGUCUCUCUGUUUUUAGCCCAUGGAUUAAUAUCUGAAGUGGGGGCUAUCCAUGUUUACUGAUCAACACCUUCUGCCAUUUCCUUCUCCAAGUUUUACUUCAAUUUUUUUUAUCUUUUAUCUGUAUUCUUUUCCUCGCAUGGUGUUCGAACCCUUGCUCUUGUAUUUGGGUAUACGUCGAGGAAUGAUGUAAGUGUCAAUAUGAGGGAUGAACUGUGCAACAAUCCCACUCAAAAAUAAUUGAUUCCGAGGUAUUGUAAUGGAUUGUGGAGACUGGAGGUAACGUCUUAUUGGCAUCAGAUUUGACCUUUCUAAUCCUAUGGGAUUCAAUGGCUCGUACAGAAUCGCAACUCCGGUGUUAUUUGCAAGCAUAGCUAAAUGGGUUAAAGCCAAGCUAAUAUUUUCUCUUGCUUCCGAAUGAUCGCGUUAUCAUUGGCCAACAUCACUUCUACCCUUUCCAAUUUUCCAAGCGCUUCUGACCGUAAGAAUAAUGGUCUCAGAGAAAGCAAUUUGACUUGUAAAACAGAGGGUUUCAGAGAGUGUCAGGAAGGUGAUUGAUUUGGGUAGCACUGAAAAAGGAUGGUUUGAACUAGGGUUUUGAAUCACGCCUUGAGUUAUUAGAGCAGUACGAAGAAUUGCGGGAUACCAGUGAUGGAUUGAUGGGUUCGGUGCCGAUUCUGGGUCGUAUUACAGAUUUGGGGCAGAGACGAUUGGUGAUGGCAAUGGGAUUAAUGCAAAUCAGGGAGAUGCUAUUUUUGAGGAAACGUAGUUCACGGGUUUUAGGAAUGUAGUUUCAGAAUUUUCAGAGAUUCUUGAUGUAUUGUGUUAGAAUAUUCUGAAACAGUUUCAGUAUACCGAAGGAUCCAAUACGGGCUUAGCAAUUACUAUAAGGAACAGAAAGAAGGAAAUUGAUGCGACUUCUGCGAACAAGUAAGUUCCAGAUACUUCGGUUGGAAGAACCUUCUCAAUAAGGUGAUCAAUCAGAGGAGGUAUCUUGCACAGUAGACCUUUCUGAUUCUUUAUGUUAUCAACUUGAUCUUGUCUCUUUUGUCGCAUAUGUCAAUUCUGCUCAUUUAUGGAAUUCAAAAUCCUCAUUGUUGUUGCCUGAAAAAGAAAUUACGGCAAUUGGAGAAGACAAUCAGUCUGACCCUUUUUGUUGAAAAUUUUGUUUUGGAAAGAUUUUCUAUUUAAACCUCCCUGCGGGUACUAUUCGAUGAAGUCUUUGGUAAUAAAUUUCAGGAUGCUAUUGAAUUGAUAAGUAUGUAGCCAGUUGCUUCUAAUUUAGCAGCCUGGAAGAGAAUGCGAGUUGUUGAAUUCAUGCACAUGCGAUAUGCUCUGGAAUCUGUGGUGCUUGCAGUUGGAGCUAUGGAAAGAAGUACAUCUUAUCAUCUACUAUUGGUGAGAGAUAUAUUGUUCUUGCAAUGAAGCACCCUGCUGUCUUCUUAGAUAGCAGGUACAUUGACAAUGGGGAUAAGGAUAAGAAGACUUAUACGUCUUCUUAGAAUAUGGAGGAUUCACUCAAUACAAAAGUCACUCUUUUCGUCUCUGGAAUUGAGAAACCACAGUUUAGAGGAUGGAAUUAAAGUUUUUAUGCCCCAAGUUGCAGUAGCAGUUCUGGUAAUACUCAAACUCAGAGCAUCACGGGGUAUGACAGGAUGGCUGGAAUGGUGAUUGGAAGGCUCCUGGCGUCCAGAGAUUCCCUAAGUAGCAGUGGAAGUUUACUACUGGUGUAGCCAUGAUUGAAGUUACAGCUCCAUGUGUAUAUGCUAUCAAAAGAAGAAGGAUACGAGACUCUGAUUUUCCAUACCACUGGAAUGGGUGGAAGGGCUAUGGAGGAUCUGAUCAGAAGGGGAUUUAUACGAUGUGUUCUGGACAUAACAACAACAGAGGUUGCUGAUUAUGUAGUUGGAGGUGUUAUGGCUUGUGACAAUUCCCACCUUGACGUCAUGAAGAUAAGAAAUUUGUCGGCUUUGUAGCAAACGAACUAAACGAAACAGCAUCAAAGGUAAUGUUGACCCGAAUGAUUAGGCUCAUAUUCAGAAAGACAGAAUUUGAUCCAGACUCGAUUUCCUCUGGUUCUGCUACAAAUAAAGAAGUUGAAUUUCUGGACUGCACAAGGACCUUUUAGUUCUGAUUUUUCUUUAGGUGCCAAUCUUACCACAAUGGAAGAUGUCCAGAAUAGUUUUAAUGCAACGCAACUUAGGCUUUGUGGAAGGUUAAGCAAUGUUGAUGGCUAUAUAAUGCCGAUCAUCUUCCCAAGUGUUAUUCUCUGUGGCUGAGUUGUUUUCUGAAGCUGAAACAUAAAGACCCUCUCAAUAAGGCCGCCUCUAUGAAUCUUGCUCAGCAUGCACUGAUCAGCAAUUUCUGGUGAGAUCUCAGCCAGUUCCAGCUGAUAAGCAGGUGAACCAGGCAGGAAGGACCAAUUGGCAAACACUCUUGGGCUUUCCUGGUGGGCAUGAAACCCAGAAUUGCAAUGGGGUAGUUCAGAAUCUGAAUCUAGUUCGACUUGGAGGUCUGAGUCAGACAUUAUAUAAUUAGGAUGGCAAAGAAGACUCCUUACCUACAGCGGCCCAAAUUUAUUAAGUCGUCCUUUGACACUAAAGAGAUCACCGGUUUGCCCUUGAUAAAUUAAUGUCAUCAUGAGCAGAUUUUGUUCCUAUUCUUUAGCUGAGAAUCAAAUGCAUCACACCAUCGAACAGUUGAAAUCUUUGAGUAGGAGCAGAGAAUGAUGCAGAACAGAGAAAACAAUGACCCAGGUCCAACAGGUCUCAUGAGGUUUGAUGGUGAGAUCCGUUCAGCAAUGUUGGGAAGCAACUGGAAAUAUGGGCCUCAUGCUGCUGCAACUCACUUAGACUACAUGGUUGAGUUUACAGUCACUGUGCCAAUUUUGAGUCUUGCUGGAACAAUGGAUAACUUACCAGCUGGUGAACCAUGGCUGCAGAAACUAAAAGCGGAUUGAGCAGGAUGCAACUACUCUCAUUCCAGGAAACAAAGAACUGAAACCACACGAGUAGGACCCUUUGAACAAAAAUGCUGGUAUCAAUACACAUCCUACGUGCCCAUCUAUUAUUCAAUCCAAUUCUGAAGUCCCAGUCAUGUCACCUAGAAAAAGCAAAGGAGAAAUUCAAAGGGAACCCUUGGGCUUGAAAGGAAAGGUUCUUAGUCUUGGAAAGGUUCAGAAAAGCCGGAAGGUGUAGAAAGAAUUCAAGCAGCCACAGAAGGCUUCCUCCAAGCUGAUAGUACCACCUAGCACAGGUUUCGGUACCUUAACCUAUGGAUAUAGUUUGCUCUUGAGAGCGUUCCAUACAUUCGAAACGGCAUCAAUAAGUCACUACUUUUGGAUCAGCACUUGGAACUGGAUCUUAGUACUGUCAUGCUUGGCUGUUGCUUUUGGUUUUAGAAACAUGAACUGCUUAGGUAACGCAUCUGGCUUGGCAGUUAUAAUUAUAAUGUCAGUCACCACCUGCCUAAUGUCUCUGGUUGCUGUACUGUGCCGACACCAGAAUGUCUCCUCUAUAAUUGGCUCCAUGUUCUUCAUUGGCGUAAUUGAAGCUUUCUAUUUCUCAGCAUGGAUCUCUAAGCCACUCCUGAGCAUGCGUGUAAGAAUGGAUAGCAGGGCAGAUUUUCAGGUUCCUGGUCAGAGUGGAAUAAUGGGACAGCCAAAUGAAGACGAAUUCCCCAUGAACUUCCAAAAAUAGACUUAAUGAUAAGAAGAGAGGUGAAAAAGAAUUCAGUGGCUAUUCGAGAUGACUUUUAUGGAUGAAUUCGGUAGAGAAUUGAAAAGAAUUCAAGUGGUUGCAUAUGUGGGUGAGAUUCAAUAGCGUUAACGGAUACUCUUGAUGGCUGAAAUUUAAAAGAAAUGAUAGACUACAUAAGUGAGGUGAUUGAAUUUUAUAAAUAUGAUUAUGGGUUUUGAAUUACAUCGAGAUCAGCACUUGUUGAGAUUAUCAUAUUUAUGCUGGUAACAUUGCAAUCAUAUACGUUUUCAUCCCAAGAGUUUGAUCAUGCGUCAAAAUAUCUAGAAGCAGAGCAAAUUGAAACCUUUUCAAAAUCAGCAGUGGACAGAUUCUGUCCUAAAACACUUGAAGUUGGAGCAUACUGAGGCAGUUUAGUCUUCUGAAAUCCAUACCUAGUUUCCUGAUGAUUCAAGUUCUUUAUUUGACUUUUCCUUUAUAGAGAAAGCUCCUAGUGGCAUUGACCAGCCAGGAAUUCACCAUAUGCUUCAUCAACAAUAAUGUGCAAUUCAGGAAAAACGAGGUUGGAUGGUCAGAAGAAGACUUUGAAACUAGUUCAGGAUCUCAAUCUAGUGAAUCUGAUUUCUCCAGUUUCAGUCCAGAUGAGCUUCUGCAGUUAAUUGGUGAUGCAUCAGUUAUGGGAAAGGUCCUUCAUCAACUAGCACUUCACCUUUAUAAGAAUCCAUCAUGAUUCUCAGCACUUGCUGUUGUCUAUUUUCUGACAUGUAUUAAGCAAAGAUUGGUCUGAAGAGAGAUAAUACAUCCUCUAUCUAGUACACAGAUUCAGACGCUGAAUUCCGUGAUUAUGUUAGUGAGGUCACGAGGGAAGUGUGUAGGCAUCACUAUGCAAAGUGCCUUGAAGUUGUAUCAAUUCGUUUGCUGGAUAAUCGCCCACAAAUUAGCAAAAAUCAUCUUUCAAAAUAUAUGAAGUAUCCUACGUUUAUAGGAGAGCAAUUGAUCAUUCAACACCAAAUUGUUAUCUUCAGGGAAAUGUUGAUAUGAUUGGAGGUGCAAUAGCAUUGACUUGAGAUAGUCAACAGUAUGUGAUCACAGAGUUAGGAUAUUACAACAAGAAGAGUCCAAUGGGCUUAAAUCUUUUUGACAGAAAUUCUCAUCUAUCUUGGACUUUAAGCUAGCGUCUGAUGAAAAACAUCAGAAUCUUCACCCUAUUCUAUGAUAGAUGCAUGCAUUGCAGUAUGCUCGAGAUCAUUGUAGGCCUUUAUCCGAGAAGAAACAGAAUAGAGUGAACCAGGUGUUGAAUAAAGCCCGUGAUGAUGCUGAAAGUAGUGCCUAGAAGAACUCGUUAGAAAGUAACAAAGGCAAUGUCCUCUUUCCUCUCCUCUGAUGUGCCUUCUCCUGUUUGGAGUAUACCAAUAAUUCGGAAACUGCACUCUUUAUCUGUGACUUUACUUGAUGGAAACAAAGGGCAAGAUGGGAAGCCUCACAAGGAAGAGAAGCCUCAAAGUCUAUAUGAGAAUUUAGAAGAUUCUUUUGCCACAAAGGCAGCAGAAGAAAUAUGCUUGCAACAGAAAGAACUUAGGGUAUUUGAAAUUUCUGGAUUGGUGCUGCUCAAUGAGAAUAUACAGAAAAUCAAUCCAAAUGAACCACUAAAAGAAGAAUGCACUACUCUAGGUGAAGUAUCAUGGUUAGAGAAUCACAGAAACGCGUCUGCAAUAAAACGCUCAGAUUCUCCAAUAGAAAGUGACAGAACCAUGAAGCUGCCAGUAGAGGUGCCUGAGGGAGCUGAGGAACCUGCAGAAGAGUAUGAAAACAACAAAGAACUGAUCAUAGAGAAAGAGAGAGACAUCAAGGAAUUUCCAGCCGUGUCCAUUGAAGUUGAAUAGGUUAAAUAGGAACGGCAUUCUGAGACAAUACUCGCUGAAAAUCCUAGAAUGACAGAUUCUGAAGUGCAGACUAAAAAUGUGAACCUAUAGGAUUGUGGAAGACUUCAGCAAAGACUCUAAAAGAUUUCCCAUCACAAAAGCAAUGGAAGCAGAGAUGCUACAGAAACAGAGUGGUAAAAGGAAAGUGGAUGUCUCUGGUUCGGUAUCUGAAAUAUCAAAAGAAAUUAAUAAGGAGGUCAUAGAAGAUGCCAGCACUUGCUCUAACAAUAUUGAUGCUGCAUCCGAAGAGGGGAAAACAGAAGAGUCAAGCUUGUAGGAAACUCAACUGAAUGACAAAUACAAAAAGAUCAUUAAGACUAGCUCAGAAGAUAAGACACUAUAAGCAAAUACCACAAAUGAAACUAGUCCACAGGCUGAAGAGGUUGACAGCAUGAAGCUUGAAGAAACUUUUGAAUUGAUGUCUCAACUUCCAGUUAAGGCAUGUGAGAACACAAACAAGGAGAGUGAAACAGUGGAAAGGUCGAUUGAUAAUGUGCUGAAGAAACCGAUUAAAUCUUCUGGUAUAGUAUCAGAAUCCCAAGAACAAUGUGCUGAAGAAACUGAUUAGACCCUUAAGCUCUUCUCUAGCAGGGUCUUUGAUAUCAAAUGCCUGUCAGAACCCCCAUUCAGUAAACUGCUUCAAUUUGAGCUCAGGAAUCCAAGGAAGACACGGAUAAGGGAAAGUUGAUUACGCCAGAAUCUGUAUUUCUCAAGAGCAACUCAAGUUUACUGGAACUCUUCACCCUUCAUUGGAAUUCAAUAAAACUUUGAACAACAGAGAGCCACAGAAAAGUACUAAAGGAGGGCAGAAUGUAUUUUGGGAUUCAACAUCAGCAGGAUAGUCUCAAAUCUUAUUCCCAGGCUCCACUCCAUCAUGGCAACCUUGCUAUACACACCCUCUCCUCUAUUUACUUUUGUGAUUGGGAACUUACUAUUUUAAGUUGAAUUUUUGAACCAUUGUUCAACUAAACAUUCCCAGCUUUGAAAAAUCCAUCUUAGGAGCAUCUAGGUAUAAAAUCCCAAUUUUAACAUGCUAUUUGCUGCCAUUUUCCUCCGGGCAUGCACUUUCACUAUUUUAUCCGAUUUUUAACUAUUUUCAUGAUUUUCUCGAUUUUCUCAAGCAUGAACAAACUUCAUGAUUCCAAACAAUGGAAUUAAUAGAAUAAAUUCAUGCAAAAGUAAUCAGGGCAUUGGGGGGAGGCCCGACAUUCAUAAUAUUCUCUUCAAUAGUGUCUUGUUUGAUAUUUGAUUGAUUGUGCUUCCUCUUUGUGGUAUAUAUGAGAUUAUUUUGAAUUAGUUGUUGAGUUAAUUUUGUUUCCCAUAGAGGAUUAUUAACUCGCUAAUCAGGUACGCUCUUUCUACCACCACACUUUCCAAAAUUUCAUGAAUAUGAGACAUAACCAUAUUUGAUGCCAUAAUUGAUUGCUUUGAUGCUUGUUGGAUCGUCUUUGAUGAAAAUACAUAUUAUGUGUCAUAUUUCCAAACUAAUCUCUCAUGUUUUGUGAUAGUGUUUGAGAAGCCGUUCAGGUACGCACUUCGACUCUCUCUUAUGGUUGGUUUUCUUAUUAGGCAUGCAAUAUUUGAAAUCACCUAGCCUACUCAGGUAUCCAUAAUUAACUGAUUAAUGGCCACGCUUCCCUUAACUUAGUCAGUAGAGACCUCUUUAGGGCUUAGAGGGGUGCUACCUCCUAGAGGUACCUUCCCAAUAAGUAACCUGAUCCCCGAACCAAGACUUGGGUUUUCAAAGACACGCUUUUCCAAAAAUUAUGGAGUCAUUUUUUUAGGGUUUUAUUUCUUGUUUUAUUUUCCCUUCAAAAAUAAAAAUAAAAUAAGUGGCGACUCCAACUUUUUCAAAAAUCAAUUUUUCACAAUAAAAAGCGAGUCUCGUCGAUCGAGUGGGGACGCACGUGAAAAAUGCGGGUCCACAGUCAUGGCCAUUUGAUGCAUGGGGACUUGACGUGGUCAGACCCAUUACUCUUAAAUCCUUUGUUGGACAUGCUUACAUAUUGCAGCAACAUAUUAUUUUUCUAAAUGGGCAAAAGUUGUUCCACUUAAAGAAGUGAAUAAAGAAAAUGUAGUGAACUUCAUUCGAAGUAAUAUUAUCUAUCGGUAUAGGGUACCAUGAUAUAUAAUCACUGACAAUGGGAAACCCUUCUAUAGCAAAUUGAUGAUCAAUCUUUGUGAGAGGUUUAGUUUCAAACAACACAAUUCAUCAAUGUACAAUGCACCGACCAAUGGUCUCACAGAAGCAUUCAACAAGACUCUUUGCAACUUAUUGAAGAAAAUUGUUGAUAAUUCAAAGAGGGAUUGACAUGAAUGAGUAGGAGAAGCACUUUAGGCAUAUCAAACAACAUAUCGAACGCCUACACAAGCAACCCUUUAUUCCCUUGUUUAUGGUGUAGAAGUUGUAUUGCCCCUUGAGCGUCAGAUCCUUUCAUUAAGGAUUUCUAUACAUGAAGGACUAACUAAUGAAGAUAAUGCCAAGUUACAUCUUCAAGAGUUAGAAGCACUAGACGAAAAGUGACUCGAAGCCCAACAACACUUAGAGUAUUAUCAAGCACACCUUUCAAAAGCUUUAAAAAAAAAAGGUUUGUCUUCGGUCUUUUCAAGUCGGUGAUCUAGUUCUUGCCAUUCGUAGACCCAUUAUCACCACACAUAAGACUAGGAGUAAAUUUACAUCAAAAUGGGAUGGACCUUAUGUGGUGCAAGAAGUCUACACCAAUGGUGCUUAUAAGAUCGUCACUGAAGACGGAUUAAGAAUUGGCCCUAUCAAUGGAAAAUUCUUAAAGCGUUAUUAUGCUUGAGUCACACUACACCCUUAGCUUGCAUGAGCAUAAAUUAUGUCUGGAGCACCAAAAAAAAAAUAAAAAAAUCCGCUAAGUCGAAAACCUAAAAGGACGCCUUAGGUAAAAAUUAGGACAUAUGCUCACAAGAUUAAAAUUUUCUUUUAGCCUUGGCAAAAGUUAGAGCAUGAAAAAAAAAGGUGCUGCAUUUGACUUGAUCCUCUCUCUUUGAAAGGUAUGUAAGCAACUUGGGGAAACCACCUAAGUUCACUCACUACCAAAAAAAAAAAAAAAGGUCUCAUUUUUAUUAAUAAAUAAAUCUGACUAACAAAUGCUAGACUUUAUUACAUCUUAAUAAAAAAAAAUGAAUGAAAGCAAAAAAAAAAAGGGAGCCAAAACUAAGUAAAAAGGUACAAUGAUCACAUCCACACCAAGCAUGCAAGCUCGUCACGUUGAGUCCUUAAGGCUUCUUGAAGUGUCUCUAAAGUUUUGACAUCAACAUCAGUAAGCACAAGGGUUUGGGCGAUAAUGACAUGUUAUUUCCUCAAACGAGAAACAUCAUUAUGUUUAUUGGCUAUAAUCUCAUCAAUCUCCAAGAUUAAGUUAUGAAUGUGCUCUUUUUGUUUACCUAGUUGCUUAAAUUCCUUCUUAAGUGCUUCCUAUUUAGCAUCGAGAGUAGCUAAGUCUACCUUUAAUGAUUGACGAUGGUUUUCCUAUAUACACUUAGAGUUUAAAGCAUCCACAAUCUGAGAUGCAAUAAUAGCUAAACGUUCGCUUUGUACUUCUAGAGAUAUAUUUAUAGAAUGGGUGCGUCACAUUGCAUUGAGGUGAUCUACACUUUCCAUGUACUUCUCAAUCUGAGACUUUAAUGGUGAAGGGUUCACUCCAAUCUUUGUGAUAACAUUGAAAAGCUCAUCAAUUUUUCCUCUUAAUAAUGGGAGACAUUUAUUUGGAAAUUUUAAUAAUCAUCACCUUAGUGCCUUCUCCUAUCAUAAGUGCUUCUUGGCGUUAGGCAUUAAGGAUGAUUUGUUUGACGUCGAAUGUGUGAAUGGAAGUAGAAGGAGCAACCACGGUAGGACAUGUAGAUUGUUGUUCAGUAAUUAAACCUAUAAAUGCUAAAAUUGUUAAUUCAUCAUAUGUUGUAUCUCUAAUUGUGGUCUUUUGACCUCGAGAUUCAAUCAGAACAUCACUUAAGAUGUUAGUAAUACCUUUAUCACCCAAAUAAGAAUGAGACAAAGGUAAUGGGAUGAUAGAGUGAUUAUCUUGUUGUAUGGUCAAGGUAAAGGGUGCUGACUCCCUAAUAGCAAUAGUACUUUCGAACUGAUCCUUAGGAGAGGACUCAUCCCCUUCAUUGACAAAUUGGUUGUCACCCGCCACCUAAGGCAAAUAAUUAUUUUUGUUAGUAUCAAUGCAAAAAAAAAAAAAAAAAAACCUUUUCACCAUCAAGUUCCAUCGCUUGAGUAGAAGUUAGGACGUCAGCAAAGAAGACAUUUACAUCAAGAUGAUAAGAGUUAGUCUCAUCAUAGUACAUAGGGUUGGGUCUAAUUUUUUUCCAUUUGAAGUAACAUUCACUUGUAUCUUCAAAGUUUUUGUUUGAUACAUAAAGACCCUGUGCAUUGUUAUGUUGCUUAAAAGUCUUGUGACAGUGAGUAUUACCACCGUUGAAAAUAGUUUCCUCAUGCUCUGAGUGUGUGGAGGUAUUAGUUUGAUGUCCACCCAUUGAGCGCUUAGAAGAAGCUCUUGAAUCAUCAGGUAAAUCAUCAAAAUCCUUCUCAACAUUGUCUCUAAUAUUCCCCUUAGUAGAAACACUUAAGUCAACCUUGCGCGUUCUACUCUCUAAAGAUCUAGAGGGUAUUUGCCAAGAAGAAUUAGGAGGGGGCUCCAUACAAGUAGUAGUAAGAAUUUCUUUAUCAGGAUUACGUACUCUGAUCCACCAAUCCGCAUAAGCCAAUCUGGUAUAGUAACUUUGGAGUAGGUACCAAGCCUAGUACAUGACUGCCAAUGUUGAUACACCGCCUUUAAAGUUCUAGUGUGAAAAAUCUCUAGCGAACUCUCCGGAAGGUCUUGAAGAUAUACAAACUGCCUAGAAAACCGAUGAGGAUAAUACAGUUGGAUUACCCAAUGAUUACCUUGUCGCAAAGAUAAAUAGUUAGAGUGAAGACUUAUGAGAUAAGAAGCUUUGGUAACACUAAUAGAUUCAUUAUCAGUCCAGUGCACAUGCCUCUUGUGGCGCAAUGCCAAGUGGUCUAGCUUUACGCCUUUGCAAGACAUUAUCAAAGCCUAAGCUUGCAAAUCAUCAAAACACUUAACAAAAAACUCGCCAGUGUAAUAAGUCAUCCGUGGGGGAUGGCUCCAAGAAGGAGAAAUGAAAUGGGUAUCGAAAUAUUCAUUUAACCAUCCGUAUAAGUAAUGAAUAGGGAAAAUAGAUGCAUUAGUCCCAGGCUUUGAAGAAUAAGUGAUUUUAUUUAAGCUGUUGUAAAUACUUCCUAACACCAAAACAACAAGGCUAAAUGUCUCACCUUGAGCCAUUUUACUAGCUACCUUGAAGACUUUAGGAUGAAUCAAAUUGACACCUCCCAAGGAAGAACGAACUUGUAUAACCAACAUGCUAAGAAAGCGCCUAAGUAUCCUUCACAUCUGCCUCAGCUAUGCCAAGGUUGUAAAAAAUUUCCAUCUCUGACUGAAUACGAGAUUUAAUAGGAUCAAUUUCCCCAGAGGGGUUAUGAGUCUCCUUAGGCCUUUACGCCUUAUUCCUUGUACUUUUAUUUGGAAGUUUUGCAUACUUCAUGGAGCCUUUAUACCAAAAUGACACCCAAGAGGCUAACUUGACUGAAGACUUCCCUUUCGUGUUAGAGCAAAUUCGAUGAUAUGCAAGGAAUAAGUUUUGACAACUUGGUGGGAGUGAGGGCUUUGUCACAUCAUUAGAUAACUCUUCCAUGCUCGGUACCAUCUCAUCAUAAAAAGAUCCAAUGAUGGGUAGUCCAACAAUAUGAUACAAGUCCCAAAGAGAGAUGGAAACCUCUCUAAUGGAAGUAUGCAAGGUGUUAGUGGUAGGACACCAACGUUCACAAAAGGCCCUAAUCACAGAGGCAUGACAAUCAUAGCUGAAUAAGGACGCAAAAAUAGCUUCAUAAAGCUUACAUCCUUUAAGAAAUGGUCCAUGCCGGUCCAAUACCUCCUCUACCCAUUCCCAAUAUCCUUCGAUAAAGAAAUAUUCCCUUAGUACUUUGAAUGAACUUCCCCAUUUAGCUUCUCCGUCAUGAACACAAGAACCAAACUAUCCAAAUUCAUCAUGAACUUUAGUAGUAGUUGGGUGAGAGGAAUUCAACAACAGAACAUCAGAAACAAGUUUCACCUUAUUGAGUUUUGAAUUGCCGAUAUUUGUAAGCUUGCAAGAUGCAACUCGGGACAAGGAAGAAAUGUGUAAUGGGUCCUUUGUCACUGGUACUGACAAAGAUUGAAGGUCAGUAAGUGACUUAUGCACUGACAAGGUAGUCCCCUCCUCAAAAUCUUCACUAUCAUCCUCAAGAAUAGUUACAAUCUUCUAUUUGAAACAUUUGAAGAACGCCAUCCUACAUAAAAAGGAAAAAGAAGGUAGAGAGAGAGAUAAAUAAAACAUGGGUAUAAGUUUUUAGAUACCACUAUGCAUUUAAGUCAGAUCAAUUCACAUGAGUGAAGACCUUAGCACUUAAGUCAUAUAAAGUGUUGAAAGUACAAUACCGCAUAGCAUCAGGGCCAUAACUUGUUUGCAUAGAUACCGAGUAUUAUUCUAGUUUUAAUUAAAUGUUAAAACUUGAACACAACUAUGCAUUCAAGUCAAGACAAUUUGCAUAGGUGAAGACUUUAGCACAUAAGUGUUGAAAAUACAACACCGCAUAACAUUAGGGCCAUAACUUGUCUACAUAGAUAACAAGUAUUAUUAUGGUUUUAAUUAAAUAUUAAAACUUGAACACCACUAUGCAUUCAAGUCAAUCCAAUUUGCAUGGGUGAAGACUUUAGCACAUAAGUGCUAAAAAUACGACACCGCUUCGCGUCAAGGCUACGAAUUGAUUACAUGAGGGUCAAACUUUAAAUAUUCAUAUGUUUUUUUAUUUUUUAUUUUUAUUUAUUUUUUAUUUUUUAUUUUAUGGAUAUUUAAGUUUAUUAAAAAUUUCCCUCAAGUACUAAGGUAAUUUAAAAAUAAAUAAAUAAAUAAAAUUAAAUUACCUGAAAUCAAAUUCGUCUCUACGAAUAAUGGAGGCUAACAUGUGUUCGAAAAAGGUGAAUCUUUUUCUUCCUUGACAAAAAAAAAAUGAAUAAAAAGAUCACGUGUCAACAUAUAUAUAUAUAUAUCCAUCCAUUUUUUCAGGAGAUCACGUGAAUGGAUUUUAUAUAUAUAUACAUAUAUUAAAUCCUCAUCCUUACAUCAAUAUAUAGAUAUAUAGCCUAGUGAUGACGUCUCCCAAGGCAACCAACAUUGAGGCUCUGUCCCCAUUGACUUCGACAUACACCCACCAAGCUCCAAAAUAUAUAUAUGCAUUUAAAAAAAAAAUACUUACAGGUUUGAAGAGGUGAAGACUUCUUACGGUAAUUCAAGUCAAGUUUCUUAAAAUUGGGUUGAAAAUCACCCAAAAAUUCAAAAAAAAUAAAAGAAUAUGAAAGGAUUCAAGUCGGGUUUCUCAAGUUGGGUCAAAGAACACUCAAAGAUCAAAAAAGCUCUUUGAAAAAGUUCAAGUCAAAUUUCUUAGCUAUUGUCCCUUUUAUAUAUAAAAAAAACGUAUAUGGGGAUGACAAAUUGGAAGAUGAUUGAAAGUGUAAAGUAAGAAGGAAAACAAAUUGGAAGAGGAUUCAAAGUGUAAAGCAAAAAAGGAAAACAAAGUGGAGUUUGGAAAAAAGUGGGAAAGAAAUAUUUUUUUUGGAAAAAAAAAAAACUUCAAGACUCACCCCAUCCACAUGACAAUGCAUAUAUGUGAUGCGUCUUGAAGUGGGGGUAUUUGUAGACAUAAAAAAAAUUAGUGGAUUAAAUUACCACUAAUUUUGUUUUCAAAAUGAAUAAAAAAAAUCCUCUUAUGGAUAAGUUUCUCUAAUCUCCAACUAUAGAAAGGAUAAUAAUAACAAUAAAAAAACUAUUAUUAUUAUUAUUAUUAUUAUUAUUAUUAUUAUUAUUAUCUUGUUGGUAAAACCUUCCAGGAUUUUUUUUUUCUAAAAUCAAGGAACUAAAUCCUUUAAAUUAAGCAACUAAACUCUGAGAAUUUGAAAUUCAAAUUUUAUAUCUUCACCUAUAAAUAGAGGUGUCUUUUUUCAAGAAAGGAGGGGAAGAAAUCGAGAAAAAAAAAUCCAGAAAGGAAAAUCUUAAGGAGGAAAUCCAAAGGAAACUUUGUAUGGGAAAAGGGGCUUCACAACAAAAGAAAAAGCUUCAUCAAAUUUCUCUGCAAGUUCGGUACAUGGUAGAACUGCUAAACACGCUCACCGCUAUUUAACGAGUUCAUUAAGGAAUAAGCCACUUGUGGCCCUCAAUUGAUCUUCGAAAUUAAGAAAAUGUCAUCGUUGUUUUCCAAAGUGUGAUCAAGAUGAAAGAAUCAGAGGGAUAAUAUUUUUUUGGAAAUAAUAUUAUUUUUGAGAUUGUACCCACAAUAUUUUUAAUUUUAAUAAAUAUUUUGUUUGCAUUAUUUUCCUAUUUGUUUUGCUAAUUUUGUAGGACCAUUUACGAAAUUUAUGUGUACAUACUCUUUUAUGAACAAGGUAGUGUAGAAAAAGUGUAACACUUUUUUUUUUAACUCAGGUAACUCAAGUAAUAUAUCAUUUCUACCAUAGUGAAUCCAUUCUUCUUCUUUAGCGUAUAAAAAGUGACUCCGUUCUUCUUUAGCACAUUAACUUGAAUACGCAACUCAAGUAAUAUAUCAUUUCUACCAUAGUACUUUUAGCAUUUUAGUGGUAUUUUUUUUCUCAUAAAAAUGUGUACCCUUUGAAUAAGCAACCUUUGAGGUGCACAACUUAAUGUUUUAAGAGGGUGCACUAUUUUUUCCUAGCGCAUUUGAAAUGUGUACAACUUCACUAUGCAAAAAAACAUUAUUUUUUAAUAAAAUUAAGAUCAAAUUAAUAUAAAUGAUUAAAUACAAUUUUUAUGAAAAAAAUAUAUUUUAUUUUUUAUUUAUAUAAAUAAAAAUAAAAAAUUUAAUAAAACAAAAUAUUAGAGCCACAACCAAUUUUCUAUCUUAUAUAAUUAAAAAUAUUAAACAUUUUAACCAAGAAGAAAAUUAAAAUUGUGAUCAAGUUACAUCCAUAAGCAAAAAGUUAAAAUAGUGAUUAUCGACUCUAACUUUCACAUAAAAAUUUAACAAUUUUUUAAAAAUAUAAACAAUAAAAUAAUAUGACAAUGUAAUAGGAUUAUAAAAUAAAUAGAUAUUUUAUUUAGGAGGAAUAUAGAAAAUCUUAUGUCCUAAGCUUCUAAAUUUGUUCAUAAUGAAUUUAUUUUUAUAUUAAAUUUGUUUUCAUUAAUUAUUUCUUAUAUAUUUUUAUUUUGUGUCUAGAAUAUCCAUAAAUAAUUGAAAUCGGUAAAUGUAAAAGAAGAAAUAAUGAAAAAAUAAAAUUAAAAAGAUUUCAUGAAGUCAACACAUUAGAAAAUAAGAACAGAAAGGUAGAGAUAUUACGAAGGAGAGGAAAAAGAAAAAAGAAAAAUCAUAUGACAUGGUUGUCAUAUUAAAGUAAAAAGAAAAAAAAAUAAAAUUUUGUAGUAAUUAACUGUGAAAGGAGAUCGAGGGUUACAGGGUAAUUUUAAAAUUUUGAUGAUUUCACUAUUGAAAUACAUGUUUCUAGAAUUAAUUUUUCCAAGAUGUAUGUACUUUAAAAUUUAAAAUUUAAAACUUUAAAUUUUUUAUAUUUUUUAGUUGUUGCAUGAAUAUUACAUCAUUCUCCAUGAAUAGAAUGUGAUAGGGCAUGGUUUUUAAAUCACUUUUAUAAUAAUUUUUUUAUAAUUAACAAGUUUGGCAAAAGAUAUUCUUAAAUGAUUUAAUUUAUAUUCAAUGCUAGUAGUCAUUUUAAUUGGAUAAACUUUUCAAAAGCAAAUUUGAAGAAUUUGGGUCAAAUGUAAUGUGCAUUUUUGUAGGGCCCUCCCAAUGGACCUCGUAAUGCCAAAACUUCUGGCCUUCAUGUUUUGUCAACUUGUUCACACAAUAAGCUCACGAGCUUUACCUUGCUUUAUCUUGUGAGACUUUGAUAUAUGCUUUGUUUGUAUUAAAGAGGUAAAAAAGUUCUUAACCACCAUUCCAUUUUGCACUAAAAAAAAAUUGAUAUAGACAUGCCAAUUGACUUUGUGUGUCAAAUAUUGUCAUGAUGCAUAUGAGAAAAUAAUGUGUCAUUUGACUCCUUUGAGUCAAAUCUUGCCUUUAAGUACAGAGAAAUAUUUGAGAAAUCGCAAGCAUUUUUUCUUUGUUGUUCAUUAAUAUAUGGAAUAGGUUGACCUUUGAAUUAGUCAAGGACAUGGUAGGUCUUUUGGUCUUAUUUUUACUCAAAUUUAUUUGACUCAAAACUGAAGUAGCAUUAAAAAUGAUACUUCAUGUGGUUGUAAAUUUACAUUUCCUAAGGGUUUUCUUCCCUAUUUGAACCAAAAAUUGAUUUUUAGGGUUAGAGGAACACCUCCCCUACAACAGUCAGACAAACUCCAUUGAGUUCCUCUUCCAUUCAAAGAGUGGGUGUGUUUGUUUCCCAAGAAAAUCUAACCCAUUUUAAGUUCAAAAUAAAUUUUUAUCAAAUUUUUCUUUAGAGCUUGGGUUGAUUCAUUUGGUUCUUCCAAAGAUGAGAACUUUUAACUCAAUGACCCAAUCAAAUUACAUGCAUAAUAACAUGAAAAUCUAGAAACUUAAGUAUUACCGUUUCUAAAUAUGACAACUUUUAAUUCAACAACCCAAUCAAAUAAUCAUGCAUAAUAACGAGAAAAAUCUAAAAACCUAAGAACUACCGUUUCCGAAGAUAUGGACUUUUAAUCUAAUAAACCCAUCAAAUAACAUGCAUAGUAACAAGAGAAUCUAAAACCCCUAAGAACUAACAUUGCCAAUUUAACCCAAUAACCCAAUCAACUAACAUGCAUAAUAACUAGAGAAUAUAAAAAAACCCUAAGAACUAAUCAUUGAAACAUGAAAAUUUUGAUAGUAUGGGAAUAACCUAUAAACCUUAAAAUUAUCAAACUUUGAAAAGUAAGAUUUUUAAUAAAAUAGCAUUCUAACACCAUGAAUGAUAACUAGAAAAUUUAAAACCGAACCAAAAUUUUCAAGAUAAGACUUCUAAGAAAAUAGCAUUUUGAUAACAUGAAUAGUAACUAGAAAAAUUAAAACCUAACCAAAAUGUUCAAGAUGAGACUUUCAAUGAAAUAGAAUUCUAAUAUCAUAAAAUAUGUUCCAAAAAAUUUAAAACCUAACCAAAUUUUUGUAUAACCAACUUUUCAAGAUGGGAAUUUUUAAUAAAGUAACAUUCUAAUAACAUAAGAAGUGUACUUGAAUAUGUCUAAGUAUGUUGUCCUAAAGGAGCACUUAAAAAGAAGCUAUUCUAAAAAGAGAAAAGGAAAAUCCUAGAUCUAACUUGGGGUUUCCAAGGGUCACAAUGAGGGGCUAGAUAAAUCCCUCAACUAGAGUCUUUGAGAUGGCUAAAAAAGGUAAGUUGUGUGAGUUGAAAAUGGGCCACCAGGGAGACUACUGCAAAGUAUGAAAAUAGCACUUAAUAGGGCAUGUGCUAACGUAACAAAUGGAAAGUCUACACUUGCAUGCUAGAUUUAUUCUAAGUUGUGCUCACAUCUAUUUUGCAAGGUUGUUUUAUUCAUCUCAUGGACCCUAAGGAUGAAUGAAUGAAAUGCUUUUAUUAAUUCAAUUGAAUGAAUGAAUAUGAAUGGAUAUGAUCUUUGCCAUUUGAUUCUCUAGUUUGGGUUGUGCACCCCAUGAGGGGUACAAGAUUUUUAUUUUAUUGUAAAAAUAUUUUCUUUUCAAUAGAUGGGUUGUAAGCUCCAUUAUAGGAGCAUAUAAUUUUAUUUUUUAUUUUUUUGAUUGUAAAUUUUUUUUUUUAUCCAUUUAUGGUGACCCAAAAGGAAAGGAAAAAUUCUUAAAUUUUCAUUUUUGAGAUCCUAUGGUGACUUAAGAAAAAAGAAAGAUUCUUGAAAGUUCUUGAUUUGAGAUCCUAAUUUGACUCAAAAUUGGGACAAAUCAUAUAUGGUUUUGAAGCUUAGGAAGUUAGGAAUCCAAUGCUUCAAACAAUUUUCUAUUCGGAGUUGAAAUGAGGAAGAUAUAGUCAAUUGAAGUAAGGUUGUACAAAGAGCAUACUAUUUCAGAAUUAAGUUCGGGCCAAAUUGUUUUUGGUUAUUUGGGCUUCUUUUUUAGCUUUUUUUUUUUUUUUUUUUUUUUUUGUGGAAAUUCGACAUUUUAGGGUUUUGUCAAUUUUUACUAACUAAUCUUUGGUUGUAAGAAUAUUUUGAUAAUUUGAAUUUUGUCCAAUUUUUAAUUACCAAAUAUGCAAUAGGAUCCCUAAAGUUCAUGAGAAAUAUUUAUUUAAUUAUUUCCUUGUUUUUAUUUUAUGUUAUCUUUAUUACUUGCUUAUGUGACCUAAAAUAGGAUAAUUUGGUAUUCUUAAUUAGAUAUAAAUUUUCAUGGGCUUUUUCAAAAUAGGAAAACUUAUUUAAAUUGGAAUGUGUAUUGUUAGGAAAUUUAUUUUAAGAAAAGAUAAGUUAGAAAAGAAUUAAGAGUUUCCAUUCCUUUUAAAAAUUAAUUCUUAAUGAUUUUAAUUUUAUUUAAAAUUUUCUUAGAUCUUUGAGAUCUCUAAGAAUAAAAUCUUUCUUUUAAUGAAAAAACUCUUGUUUUUCCAAAUCUUUAUAAAAUAAUAUUUUUCCUAUUUUGCACAAGGUUUUGAUUUAAAGAAAAUAAGUUGAUUUUGAAAAUUCAUAAUAGAUAAUUUAUAAUUAAGAAGGUUACCAAAAUAAGUAUUCAAACCUAAAGAAAAAUGUUUUGGUAUUCUCUAUAAAUUUUCAUGAAAAGAUUUUUCCAAGAUUAUAUAUUUGAAUUGGUUGUUGCUAAUGAGAAUCUUAUUCAUUUGGAACUAUCAUUUUGAUUUUGGUAUAGAUGCUUCUCCAAGCUACUACACCAUACCUAAGAUGGUCCUUCAGGCUCUCUCCUCCUGAGAUAAGGAGGAAACCCCUAUUUGGAUAUGGAUAGUUCAAAAAUAAAGACUAAGAGAGCAAUUUUGUUUAGCAAACGAGUCUUAGUUUAAAAGAUAAAUAACGGAUUUGAAAAACCUCAUGAUAAGAAGGGUUUUCAAUCUUGUAUGUAGAGGUGUCUAAUGGGUCGUGUUGGGCUGACAUGACCUAAUAUUGAUCGGGCCAUUAGGGGCCAAUGUGUCGGGUUGGGUCGACCCAUGCAAGCCAAAUAGGUGACUCGACACGGCCCAUAAGUCCAUGGGCUAAUCGUGUCAUGCUGGGUCGGGUCGUGCUGUGCCGGUGGGCCAUGGCCCAUGGGCCACUCACUUUGUUAAAAAUUUUAAUUUAAUUUUUUAAGUCAUUUUUUCUUAAGUUUUUUCCUUAUUAAAUAAAUUUUAUUUUUGUUACUUUAAACACCUCUAAUAAUUAUAUUUUUAUUUUAUUUUUUAUAUACUUCUAAUAAUUAUACUUUUUAUUUUUUACAUUUAUAUUUAUUGAGUUUGUAAUUGUAAAAUUUAUAGAAAUAUUAGUUUUUUGUUUUUAAAAAUAGUAAAAAAAAAUUACAUUUGAAUUUGUUUAUUUUAUUUUUAUCAAAAUAACAAUAAAUUUAAAAUAAUGGAAUAUAAAAGGAAAUGAAAUAUAAAAAAAUAAUUCUUUUAUUCAAUAUUUCAACAAAUUACAUGAAAAAAUAAUGAGAAAAAAAAAACAAAAGUGAGAAUUGCAUCACUAUAGUUUGAGUACAUCCCAACUAGGUUGGCACCCACCCAACUAUCAAUCAUAUGCAUUACUUAACCUUUAAAAAUUAACUACAUUUAAUAGAUUUAAAAGAAACGAACAACAUAUAAUUCUUCAAUUAUCAUAUUCACUUUUGUCUUCUUAUUCAAUCUUCAUUCUUAUUUUUUCAUCUUCAAUCAUCAUCAAUCUCUUGAACAUCAUUGUUUGCAUUGAGAUGCAAUUUCUUGAAGGCUUCUUUAAGUUCAUCCUCUAAAGUUUGACAUGAAAAAAGUAAAAAUAGUUAUUGAUUUACUUUUUUUACCCCUCAAACUAGUUGUAAUAUAAUUGUUAAGAGGGGUAUUAUAGACAUUUGACAUGUAAUAAAAAGUAAACACUAAAAGGUGAAAUUUAAAAGGGCCAAGUGGGUCGACACGGUGGGCCGACGGGUUGUUUCUUUAGGCCUAGCAUGGCCUGCUCCUUUGGGUCGUGUUGUCUUAGCUUGCUAUAGUGUUAGGCCAUACUGGCCUUGCCUGACCUUUUGGCGUGCCGAGCCACGGGCCAAAAUGGGCAGCCCGACCCAAUGACCCAGAUUUCAUUAUACAUUUGAAUGGUUUGAAUUGGAAGUUUGAUUUAGGACAAAAUCAAUAACCAUUAAAAAAAGAAAGAAUAUUGUAACACCGUUCAUACCUAUUGACUUUCGUUUUUAAUACUAUUGAAAAUUUUCACGAAUGAGAAGGCAACAAAGCAAGAAUUCUUAAGAUUCUAACUAUGCUACAGUCAUGAAAGAAGAAAAAGGGGGGAGAAGUAAUGUUUUUAUACUACAACCCACAAUCAUGAAAUAAGAAAAAAGAAAAUUCCAAAAAAUAUAGACCAAACAACAAGAACUUGCUUAGGCAUCUUCUAUACGUGAUCCUUUCUUGUCACUUGUUUUUUUUCCAUACUGGAAUGUAAAAUCCUACCAUGAGUGUUAAAAUAAGAUUGCCAUACUUAUUAACCAAUUAGUGAGUAAUUCCUACAAGUGAUAGUUUCUUAUAAUACACAUAUUUCUUGUUUACUUGAGCGCUAGUAGUAAUGAUCAUAAUUUUAAUAUAUUGAGAAUGUAAAAUUUUCUAGCAACAAAUAUAUUUAGCCCAUUGUAUUACAAAAAAGUACUAAAUGAAGAAAAAAAAUAGAGAUGGAAAGAAAUCUAAAUUCUCUUUAGUUCAAAGGUAUAAAAUAAAAUCAAAUAUAAUAAAAAAAUUCAAAAUUUUUCAAUCUUUAUGUAGAAUAGAAAAAAGAAGAAGAAAAAGGAUACUCUUGGUGAAACAUGUAAGAAAUGUUAAUUGAAUUUAAAUUUAUUUUUCAUUUUAUUAUUUUUUUAAAAACUUUUUAUUGUUUUAAAUUAAGAAAUAUACUAAAGACAUAGGUUUUAGUGAUUGCCAUAUGUUGGUAAUAAGCAGGGAAUGUCACUAAAAAAUACAAUAUAUUUUAAUUAAAUGUUACCAAGUAUUGUAUAAUGAAUGAGAGAUGAAUGUUCAAAGAACUCAACCCCUUUUUCUUUUUAGAAAAUCCAUUAGAAAAUUUUUCUUGAAGACUUGAAUAAGAUUUCCUUGGAAAGCAAACAACCUCCAAAAGAGGAAGGGAAUGAAGAGCUCACUCACCGAUUGUUGCUCUCUACAAGCUCUCUCCUCCUGAGAUAAGGAAGAAACCCCUAUUUGGAUAUGGAUAGUUCAAAGAUAAGGACUAAUUAGAAAACAAUUUUUUUAACACACGAGUCUUAGUUUAAAAAAUAAAUAACGGAUUUGAAAAAUCUCAUGAUAAGAAGGGUUUUCAAUCUUGUAUAUUUAUAUUGUCAUUCAAUGACUUAAAUUUCAUUAUACAUUUGAAUGGUCUGAAUUGAAAGUUUGAUGUAGGACAAAAUCAAUACCCAUUAAAAAAGGAAAGAAUAUCGUAACACCAUUCAUACCUAUUGACUCUCCUUUUUAAUACUAUUGAAAAUUUUCACAAAUGAGAAAGCAACAAAGCAAGGAUUCCUAAGAUUCUAACUAUGCUACAAUCAUGAAAGAAGAACAAAGAAAAUUCCAAAAAUAUAGACCAAACAACAAGAACUUGCUUGGGCAUCUUCAGUAAGUGAUCAUUUCUUGUCACUUGUUUUUUUCCAUAUUGGAAUGUAAAAUCCUACCAUGAGUGUUAAGAUAAGAUUGCCAUAAAAGAAAUUAUCAAAUAUGACAAUAUUUUUUCUAAUUUUCAAAGAAUUAUCAAAUAUGACACUAAAUUUUCAAAAUAACACUAAAUUUCUUUCUAUUUUGGAUUUAAAAGUGAGUAGUAAAACUAAAAUUAUCAAAUAUGACAAUAUUUUUUCUAUUUUUCAAAGAAUUUCGAAAGCAUUAUAUUUAAUUAAAAACACUUGGCUGAUAAAUAAAUAAACUGAAAACAUGGGAAUUCUGGAGAGCUACGAAACGGAGAUAAGAAUAUAAUUAAGGAAAAUGAAAGUGAAAGCCAAGGAAUGAGCAUCAUCACCUCCUAGAAGUAUCUAACCCACCUCGCUGAAGUUUGCUAUAAAUACCUAACAAUUUCCCUUGAGUUCAUCAAUGCUUGAGUUUGAAUCUUAUCAAUCACAGUAGUAGCAAUGGCAGACGAGAUUAUCUUGUUGGAUUUCUGGCCUAGCCCGUUUGGUAUGAGGGUCAGAGUUGCCCUGGCAGAGAAGGGUCUCAAGUAUGAAUAUAGAGAGGAGGACCCGAGGAACAAGAACCCUCUGCUUCUUGAGAUGAACCCCGUUCAUAAGAAAAUCCCAGUUCUGAUCCACAAUGGAAAGCCCAUUUGUGAGUCUAUGAUAAUAGUUCAGUAUAUUGAUGAGGUUUGGAACAAAAAAUCUCCGUUGUUGCCUAGUGACCCAUACCAGAGAGCUCAGGCCAGGUUCUGGGCGGACUACAUAGACAAGAAGGUAUGCCUUUUCUGUUGAUUUAAAGCAUUCUUUUCCAUUGAUUCAUGGCGAUUGACUCACAUUUUGAUUAUGGUGAGGGAUUUAUCCAAAAUGCUAGUUCUUCACAUAUUCUCUUCUGAUAUUGAGUUUUGUUGGCUUUGGUGUCCCAAACUAGAACUUUACUGAUUCUCUUGCUGUUUCUUCAACAAGACUCCCCUCUGCAUUUCUGAUAUGGGUUUUUAUUUCUUUGUUCUGUUGAAUCCGACGUCUGUUCGUUCCAUCCAAAAAAGCAGAUCUCAAGAAUACCUUUUCCCCCAAGAAAGGGAAUACAUAAACCAGAAUUUUAAAGAACAGAUUUUGGUUUUUCGUUAUCCUGCUGUUCAACAUUUUGCACAACAGUUGUUUUAAUAUAUGUUCUGUCUUUUUGAUCUCUUUCUUCUCAUUUCUUUAACACAAAUUGAGGGGAAAAACUUUAGCAAAUGAUACAUUCUUUCAACUGAUUCUGAUAUUUUUCCUAGGAUACGAGAUUUCUAUGCCGAAGGGUCGUUAAUAAACUUGCCCAACUAUACAGAAAGUUUGAAACUUGAUGAAAUGCUUCCAAAAGAAAAAAAAAAAACCCUUUUCUCUCUUUGACUCCAUUACUUUCCACAGCUCUAUGAACUUGGAAGGAGGAUAUGGUCAACCAAAGGAGAAGAGCAGGAAACAGCCAAGAAUGAAUUCAUAGAGUACCUUAAGAUUUUGGAAGGAGAGCUUGGAGAGAAGCCUUACUUCGGUGGUGAGAAAUUUGGGUUUGUGGAUGUGGCUCUGGUGACUUUCUCAACCUUGUUUUAUGCGUAUGAGAGCUUUGGUAACUUCAGCAUAGAGGUGGAGUGCCCCAAGUUGAUCGCUUGGACCAAGAGGUGCAUGGAAAAGGAGAGUGUGUCGUCUUCUCUGAAAGACCCACAGAAGGUCCAUGGCUUUGUCAUGGAGAUGAGGAAGAAGCUUGGUAUAGAGUAAAAGGGGAACAUCAUGUGUGGGGGUCUUUCCAUCGAAGACCCACACAAGGUCCAUGACUUUGUCUUGUGGAUGAGAAAGAAGUUCCGUGUAGAAUAAAAGGGCUUUUGAAUCGUGUUGUAUUGGUAAUAUGAGAGGAGUGUUUGCUUUAAGUAUGCUUUGAAGGGGCUGGAAAGAAAUGUUUACAAUUUGUUUUCUUUUGUUUUGGACUAGAGACGUGUUCUUGUAUUGAAGAAAUAAAAGAGUUUUUAACUACAUUCCAUUGUAUCAUGUCACAUAAACAAGCAUUAAAAUAAGUUGGAUAAGACAUGCCACAAAGUUGAUCAGAUGCGUAGUCUAUAAAGA
rnacentral:lncRNA from 1 species